rnacentral:lncRNA from 1 species
AUGCUAUGAUGUCAUUUGACUGGACAGCUGCAAAGUUCUUUUGGUAUAUAUUCUACAUGUACUUCGCAUUAUUGUUCUUCACCUUAUAUGGCAUGACGGCUGUGGCUGUGACACCAACCCACCACAUUGCUUCCAUUGUUUCGACUUUAUUUUUUGGAUUGUGGCUCCUCUUUUCCGGGUUUAUUAUCCCAAGACCCGUAAGUAUUAAUUGUCUUCCCAUUUCAAUUUUAUAUGCUAGAUUUUUCUAACUUACAGAUAUUUUGCUACUAAUUCUUUUCUCAUCUUUCAACUUGUCAAACAACAGAGGAUUCCAAAAUGGUGGAGAUGGUACUACUGGGCAAACCCUAUAGCUUGGACCCUGUAUGGAUUGAUUGCUUCGCAAUAUGGGGAUGUGGAGGACAAAAUAGAAACUGGUGAAACAGUGAAACAUUUUCUUAGAGAGUAUUAUGGUUUCAAACAUAGCUUUUUGGGAGCAGUCGCAGGUGUUCUUAUUGCCUUUGCAGCGCUCUUUGGAAUUCUCUUUCCCCUAGGAAUUAAGCAAUUUAAUUUCCAGAGGCGAUAGGAAUUUGAUUUGGCUUUGAAGAUCAAGUCUGGCUUAAUGGAACAUGUACUGCUAUCAAACAUUCUAAGGCACACGGAGGAAUCGGGUCCCAGAUGCCUUAACUAAUCCCGGUCUUUCAGUUUCCUGAGUUUACCUGUUGGUACCUUUUUCCCCCAGUUUUCAUAUAGCAAUAACAUCAAGUUCUUUUUAAUAGGGGACAGCACAUCUAGCCUUUCUGCAUUUUAUAAGUUUACUCUUUUUGCCUGCGGUUGUUAUUUGUUCGAUAUUCAAAUGUUGUUUCUUUCUUCAUAAUGCAAAUAGUAGUGUGCAGAAAAUAAAUAAAAGAAAUCUGUGAUUAAUUAAUGUGACUAAAAAGGAUCAUGUUUAACUAAGUCAAAUCAACAAGUUUGUAACUUAGCAUGUGAAAAUCCACAUUCUUGCUCUUCCAAUUGCAUCUAAAUUAUUGAUUUCCUUUGUUAAAAAAAAUUAAAUAAGUCAGGCCGCACUGUUGACAUUAUUGUAUCCUCCUCCAUCAUGAAGUUUUGUCUAAUAAAUCGAUCUUUCCAAUAUCCUAUUUCAUUAUUAAUAAGAUCAGCAACCAAGAUUUAAGAAGCAAUAGCUGCGGAGAGAAUGAAUCGAAUGUGCUGUGAGCCUGUAACCCAAAUUGCUUUCCAUAAAUAGCAAAACACACAUACUUAAUUCUUCAUUUUUACCCAGAUGUAGAACUUUUAAAUUAUAAUUAGUCUCGUACUUGCGUUUAGAAUUUUUUUUUUUUUCUCAGAUGCUGAUAAAUGGAUCAAAAAUCUUGUUGGGACUUGAAAUCCAGCAAAAAUUUUCCAGCCCAGUGCCUGCCAGAACCCAUCGUAAUGUUAUAAAAGUUGAAGUUUACCUUGAAAUCUAAAGUCCAUCUCGAUGCUUGUCACGAUUUAACUCAAUGUCUGUAUCAAAGUCUGGUCCAAAAAUCCACUCGAAAACAGAAGAAGAAAUGUGUGCUCCUACAUACACGAAUAAAAACUCAAACCCUUGACAUCAAGAACAAAAAAAUAAGGUUUCCGCUACUUACCGGCUCAACCAAUGAGUGGUUUUGCAGUUUUUAUAUUUGACGUUAAAUAUCGUUUUAAUGUUGAUCCUAAUUUAAUAAAUAGUAAUGAUUAGUUGGCUGUUUGGUAAGGCUUAUCUAAUGGUCAUAUGUGUUUAUAUAAUUUGUUCUUUUUAAGGCUUUUAUUAUUAUGUGGAGUAGAGUCUUUGAAAAUUAAAUAAGUUAUUUUGUUUCUACUAGCAAACUUUAAAUUUUAGACUUUUGGGAAUAGAUGUUGAAAUUUUUUUUAAAAUAUUGAAAUGUGUAAAAUAUCUUUGACACGACUUGUCCUGAAUCAUUUUGGGCGAGUCUAUUUGGUUGCGAUUAACUAUAUUGAUAUUAAACUUAUUAAUGAGAAUUCUACUGAAAAUCGAGCAAAGUCUCCCGUAUCAAUCUAAUAUUCUCAACCUGCAAAUUUAUAAAACGAACACUCCCAAAAGGAUUCAAUAUUCAAUCAACAUUUACAACCAAUUUCCUUAAUUGAAAUACCAAAUAUCAUCCAAACAUCUAAUAUCAAAAUACAGUAGAUUAUCCAUAAUCACAAAAUAUAACAAAAUUAUAUAAUCUAAAAUAUCUCAACAAAAACAUCUCGACUUCUAGCACUAUCACUGCUAUAAUUUCAAAAUAACUAUCAUUGCUAGGUUGAUUGUUGUAAUUGCAAAUAUCCUGUCAGGGGAGAGCGAAAUGUAAUAAAACGGGUGAGUAUAAAACUCAGUUAACUCAAUGAGUGGAUAAUAUUUUUUGAAAAUAAUCUUACUUAAAAUAAAUUAAAUCUUUUCGCUAAACAAUUUCAUCAAAUAUCAUAAGAACUUAUAUAAACUAAUUAAAAUUAAACCAUGUACUGAUAUAACAACAAUACAUAAUGCUGCAUAAAAUCAAAGAAAUCGUAACACUUAUAAUAUCAAAUAGUAAAUGCCAAAACUAUCACUAAACAAGUACCUAGGGUAAUAAUCUUGUCACACCCAGACCUCUACGGACGGUGCAAUAACAUACUAUUUGGGUACCAUCAUGUCUGAAGCUAUACAAAUAGACAGGGAAAUGUCAUUUCAUAUCUCAUACUUGGAUCUCCACAAAUUGUGCAAUGAUAUACUAUUUGGAUACCAUUUUGUUCAAAACUACACCGGUUAUCUCAUACCUCAUCAAAUCUAUGCAUGCAUAAUCUAGUCCUCAAAUGACAAAAUGUGUCCAAAUACACACCUAAAGCCUCUGUGUAUACUCAGACGAGUCCCAAAAACCUUGUAUCUCAGUAUAUGUAUCACUGUUAUCAUCAUAUUGCAUGCAUAUGCCCCCAAAAGGUAUAAGCGCCCAACACACACGGUUCAAAGUCUCUAUAUUUAGUCAGAUGGGCCCCAAAGGCAUCUCAUUUCAUAUGUAUAACUAUAUCUGGAGGGAAAGAGUACUGUCCAAUAAUUUUAAAAAUAAUCUUUAUACUCAUAUUCAUAUACUUUUUAACCAUACUUUUUUUUUAAGGAAAAAGACUUCAUUACGGAAAAGAGAGUAAACACAUAACUUGUGAUGGUAUAUUUUCCAGCCAUACAACAGAUUCUGAACCUGUUAAUGCUAUCUUAGCCAAGGUAUGGGCAUUAGCAUUACAAGACCUAAGGGGGUGUUGAAAUCUGAUUUCCUAGAAAUCUUUUCGUCUCUCUUUGAUUUCUGAUAUCACCCAAAAUAUCUCAGUUUUGCUAUCCUUUCUGUUGUUUGCCAAAUCAAUGGCCGCUUGACAGUCUGAUUCCAAAAUGACUGCAGUGAUGCCUGCCUUUUUUGCCACUUGCAUUCCCCAUUCAAUUGCUUCAGCUUCUGCAAAAGGCACAUCUCCGUUGAAACUUGAGGGCUUAAUGGCUGCAGCAAAUGGCUGCAGCAACCACAUCUCAAUUGCUUCAGCUUCUGCAAAAGGCACAUCUCCGUUGAAACUUGAGGGCUUAAUGGCUGCAGCAACCACAUCUCCCUUAUCAUUCCUUAUCACCACUCCCAACCCAGCUCUUUGACUUUUUAACCAUACUUUGAAUCAUACUUUUCUUUUUAUUAACCCAUUUGAAUCCACUUUUCUUAUUUUUAAAAUACUAUCACGUUUUAUUCAAAGUCGAUACGGAAAAAACCAUUAACCAUACACUUUUUAAUAAUAUACCAAUACGUAUAUAAAAUCUAUUUCGAGAAAAUCAUUAAAUUCGAGUAUUAAAAUAUUUAUUUCACAAACAUACUUUACUAUCAUAAUAAACUAUAAAAAUAGGUUUUGUAUAUUUCACUCAUAGUGACGGUGCUCAAACUCGAAUAUCGUUCACGUCCGCAGAUCAAUUCUCAAUCGCGAUUCCUCUUACAUCAAGAAAACGACAUAAUUACUUUAUGUAAAUGCAAAGUGCAACUAACAACUUUGAAAUGACAUUUAUUUGCAAUAAACCAUUCAUAUAAAAUUACCAAAAUAUCCCUACAUUCCUAAAGUACUAAAAUACCCUUAAAAUUUUAAAUUACCAAAUUACCCUCAUAAUCCUAAAUUACCAAACUAAACUGAAUUCAGAUUGCCAAAAUAUCCACAAAAUUUGAAUUUACGAAAUUACCCUCAGAGUCUAAAACUACCUAAAUGCCCUUGCCCGUCAACGGUGAUCGAAAUUCAAGAGCGGCAACCGGGAGGUUCGGGUUAGACACUUCUGGCCGAGCUGAGUUCAAUGGUGCCGGCGUGAGCACCAACGCCGGAUCAAGCUCCCAAAUCCGUGAAUCCUCCGACGGCCGAUCGACAGCAAAUUGGCUCCCCCGGUAGCUGUGGAUGAUCGGAAAUGGAAGGUGAUGAUGUGAGGAGUAAAACCCAGCAAGUGGCUUGGCCAAAAUCCGGUGAAAUCAAUGGCGAUCAUGGAUUCUUCGCGGUAUUUUGUGGCUUAGUUUGGCGGCCUUCUUUCCGGUUACCGGCGACGUGGAUGUGUCUGAAACGAAGGCCGGCUUAAGAGCUUUCCAUUGGUACCUUCCUUCGCCAGUGGGGUGGCCGAAAGUGGGAGUUACGAGCGGGUCGGUUUUGCGUCAAAAGCGUCGGGUUUUCUGGUAAAAAAUGGGUCAACGGGUCAGCUGCUCCUCCCUCUCUCAAUCGGGUCCCACUUUUUUAUUAAAAGCUUAAUACAAAUUAAGCUGAUACCAGUAGGGGUGGGCAAAAAAAGCUGAUUAAUCAAAAAUCGAACCGAAUCGUUCGAUUCGGUUCGGUUUUUUUGUGGUUUUUUUACAUCUAAAAAAUCGAAAUAGUAAUUUAGUAGAAGUAGUAAAAUCAGUCGGUUCGGUUUUCGAUUUAAAAAAAAACCGAAAAACCGAACCGACCACAGGAAAAAACCGAACGCAAAUUUGAUUUUUACACAAUCCCUAAUCGAACACAUUCUUAAUUCUUCUCAUCUUCUGAUCUUCACAAACCUUCACCGCUGGAAUCUCGUCCCCGCUGCUGCUGCUACUGCUGCUCAUCCUUCACGAACCUUCACCGCUGGAAUCGUGUCCCCGCUGCUGCUGCCGCCGCUGCUCAUCCUUCAUGAACCGUCACCGCUGGAAUCGCGUCCCCGCUGCUGCUCAUCCUUCACGAACCUUCACCACUGGAAUCUCGUCCCCGCUGCUGCUGCUGCUGCCAUCUGACUGCUGUUGUGAGCUGCUGCUGGUAACUUGAGCUGCUUGAGCUUGAGCUGUUUUUGCAGAGAACUUGAGCUGCUGCUGGCGUGAAAAGGUAAUCAAACAAACAGCUGCUGCUGCUGGCGUUAAAAGCUCCCUUUGUUUUUACUGGUGCCAUUGGUUUUAACCAAUUUCCACGAUUCUUCUUCGACUCCAAUUUGGAGAUAACAGUGCAAUUUGGUGAUGAACAUAAAUAAAAUCAAAACUCAAGUUUCGAUUAAUUUUAUUUAAUUUUAAUUUGUAAAGUGCCACAUAAUUCAACUUGUGAUUGUGUUUUGGCUUUUCACGUGCUAUUGACACGCUUUCUUAGAAAUUUGUUUCGUUUUCUUUGAAGGCAAAUUUGAAGAACACGUUGAUUAAUAUGUUUUGCCUUUUUUAUUGUCUUCACAGCAGAAUAAACAAAUGGCCGUUUGCAGCAUGCAGUUUUAAGCUUGAAAUAAACUUGUGCUUAUAAAAUUAUUCCCCUGGUGAUCUUUGUCCUUUUUAUAACUUUGGGAAUGGGAAAAUGAAUUUUUGUAGUGUCUGGUUUCCAUGUGCAUGUGGAUUUCCCAUUUAGUUCCUCUGAUUGUUGUGGUAUGUUCAGAAUUUUGUAAAAACACUGUGAUUGUUGGAUCUUUAUAGUAUGUAUUCUUGUUUGCAGUUGUUUGACUUGUUUCUACGGAUAGUUUCAUUGUUUUCUAACUUACUCUGUACCGUUUAAACUUAUUUAAAUAUUUGUUCCAUGAUUGAGUUUUUCUCUUUUAUUAGUUGCUUAAUUCCUUAGAUUAUGUUUCUUUUAAAAGACUUUUUGCUUAUUUAUUUUGAUUUGAACUUGUUAUUUAAACAUGUUAUAUGUUCUUGAAUAUACUUUGAGACAUAUUUUGAUUUUUUAUUUGUUAACUUUUUAUGUUUAUGGUAGAUUUAUUAAUUUAAGGUUUUAAAUUUAAAAAAACCCAAAAUAGGCCCAAUAGGCCCAUAAUCGAAAUAAUCGAACCGAACCGAAUCGAAUUAUUUCAAUUAAUCGAGUAUUUGAUUAUUUCGGUAAUUUGAUUAAUCGUGAUUAUGAUUUUAAAAUAAUCGUAAUCGAACGAUUAUGAAAAAUUUAGUAAAAAACCGAACCGAACCGAACCGCGCCCACCCCUAGAUACCAGACCCGAGUCUUAAAAUAAACUCUGACUACAUGGCCAUUCAAUCGCAUUCGAAUUGUCUCUAUUUUAUGUCAUGACAAACUUAAAUUAUUCCAAACACGAACCAUUUAUUAAAUCUAUAAAAUUUUAUAACAUAUAUCUAUUUAUUCAUAUCGAGAAAUCAAGUUGUGUCAAUUUUUGCCAAUGAGAAAUUGUAAUAAGUCUAGUGACUUUAAAAUAUAUUUUAUGCUAAAGGAGAAAAAUAAUACACUUAAUUAAAGAAAUAAAGUGCAUAUGUUAUAAUCUUUUACUUAUUUAAUUAUUUUAUUUCAUUUCUUUCUUAACACAAUUUUUAAAAUCUACUUAUUAAAAAAUCUACUUGUAAAAUCUCUAACAAUAAAAAAUUUAUUUAAACAAGCUUUAUUUGAAAAGUUAUAUCAAAUCAAGCUUAACUUAAUAUGGUAAUUAUAUUUAAGUUGUCACAUCUACUGGACUCAAAUACUAGAAUAAUAGUUGAGAAUAACAGAGAUGGGUGAGGCUAUUUAAACUCAUAAUUUUACUAAUUAAAUAUGUUUUCUCAAUAAACCCACCAUUAAAAUUCAAAUAUUAGAUUUUUACUGUAUACACCCUAUAAAAUCUAAAAAAUAACCUCAACUAAAAUAGGAGGAUUGCCACUUUCCCCCUUACAGUAAUCAACAUAUACCAUUUACCCCUCUACUGUUUUUAUAAUGGCCAAAAACCCUCCUGACAGCAUAAGUUAACAAUAUUACCCUUAUUUUCAAUUACUCUUUUAUUUACAUUUAUUAAAAAAAAUAACAUGAAUAUAAACUAAAUAAAAAAAAUUAAGUAUUAAAAACAAGAAAUAUAUGUUUUGAUGUGAGUAAAAAAAUUAAUAAUAAAAUUUUUUCUUAUAAUUAUUUAUUUUGUGAACAUUUUCUUAUAAUAAAUAUUUUGUGAUAUUUUAAAGGAAAAUUUACACCCGUCCACCUGUUUGUUUUGCCUUUUUCAAAAAUACACAAACACUUUUUUUUUGUAGCGCGCCACCUGAAGUUUAUUUUUUGUUGCAUUCAUCCACUUCCGUCUAAUUUCCGUUAGUGGAUUUAACGGAAUAUUAAUGAAAUGACAUUUUUACCCCUCAAAAUUAUAAUUUAACCCAAAAUAAAUGGAAAUUGGAGAUAAAUUGGAUGGAUUUAAUUUUUUUAAAGGUGGAUACUAGAAAUUGGAGGAAAAUAGUGUUUGUUGCUUGCUAAAUUUAGAAAAUUUGUAUUUAUUUUUUUGAAAGACAAAAAAAUAAAUACCAAAAAAAUAAAUACAAAUUUUCUAAAUUUAGCAAGCAACAAACACUAUUUUCCUCCAAUUUCUAGCAUCCACCUUUGAAAAAAAUUAAAUCCAUCCAAUUUAUCUCUAAUUUCUAUUUAUUUUGGGUUAAAUUGUAAUUUUGAAGGGUAAAAAGGUCAUUCCGUUAAAUUCACUAACGGAAAUUAAACGGAAGUGGAUAAAUAGUGGAAAAAUGCAACAAAAAGCAAACUUCAGGUGGCGCACUGAAAAAAAAAAAGUGUUUGUGUAUUUUUGAAAAAGACAAAACAAACAGGUGGACGGUUGUAAAUUUCCCUAUUUUAAAAUUAAAUGUAAAAAGUAUAGGUAAAAUAUUUUAUUAUUUAUCUUAUAAUAAAUUUUUAUUUGUCAUUCACGUUUUCUUAUAAUAAUGUUUUUUGAUCAUUUUAUAAUAAUUUUCUUAUAUUUUUAUUAUAAGAAAAUUUUCACAAAAUAAAUAAAAGAAAAAAAUUUUAUUAUUAAUUUUUUUGCCCAUAUCAAAAUAUAUAUUUCUUAAUAGGGAAAUUUACACUCGUCCACCUGUUUGUUUUGCCUUUUUCAAAAAUACACAAACACUUUUUUUUUUUUCAGCGCGCCACCUGAAGUUCACUUUUUGUUGCAUUCUUCCACUUCCGUCUAAUUUCCGUUAGCAAAUUUAACGGAAUGACCUUUUUACCCCUCAAAAUUACAAUUUAACCCAAAAUAAAUGGAAAUUGGAGAUAAAUUGGAUGUAUUUAAAUUUUUUCAAAGGUGGAUGCUAGAAAUUGGAGGAAAAUAGUGUUUGUUGCUUGCUAAAUUUAGAAAAUUUGUAUUUAUUUUUUUGAAAGAGAAAAAAUAAAUACAAAUUUUCUAAAUCUAGCAAGUAAUAAACACUAUUUUCCUCCAAAAAAAUAAAUACAAAUUUUCUAAAUUUAGCAAGCAACAAACACUAUUUUCCUCCAAUUUCUAGCAUCCACCUUUGAAAAAAUUUAAAUACAUCCAAUUUAUCUCCAAUUUCCAUUUAUUUUGGGUUAAAUUGUAAUUUUGAGGGGUAAAAAGGUCAUUUCGUUAACAUUCCGUUAAAUCUACUAACGGAAAUUAGACGGAAGUGGAAAAAUGCAACAAAAAGCAAACUUCAGGUGGCGCACUGAAAAAAAAAAAAGUGUUUGUGUAUUUUUGAAAAAGGCAAAACAAACAGGUGGACGAGUGUAAAUUUCCCAUAAGGGUAAUAUUGUAAACUUAUGCUAUCAAAAGGGUUUUUGACCAUUAUAAAAAUAGUAAGGGGGGAAAUGGUAUAUGUUAAUCACUUGGUCAAUCUCUGUAGCCUCUCUAAAAUAGGUAAUUUCUUUAUCUAACUUCCUGUAGAGUUCAAUUUAUUUUUAAUUAAUUGACAAGAGAUUAAAGCGUGAACGGGGCAAUCUUCUUAAAACCAAGGACAAUUUGAACUUUUUUGUUUUUCUCUUGCCCUUGUGGUUUUGUUUCAUAUAUAAUAAUAAUACUGUUGGCUUUACCGAAAGAAUUUUAAUAUAAAAUAACGUCUUCAUAAUGUAGGGUGAGAACAUGACAUACAAGAAAUCUAGUAGUUGUGCCUGUAAUUGUUCUUUGCUUUGUUUCUUGAUUACCAAAAUUUGAAGUUUAUGUAAAGAAGAAGAGAAGAAAAAAGAGAAAAAAAAAAAAGCAACAUCAAGUUCUUUCUCAGGCAAAAACCUGCAGAGAGAAUUAUAGUUCUUUGUUUUGGGAAUUCUUCUAUAAACUAUUUUACAUUUUUUUUUUCAUUAAUGGAUCUAUAUGCAUGAGAGAAAGAGUAGAUAUGGUUUAUAAAAAAAAUGGGUAUAAUUAAAUUAUAGUUUUUAUUUGUUUAGAUCCUAUUGUUCUUUUAUGUAAUUUUAUUUAAGGAUAAAUCAAUGAUUAAAAAUUUUGUUGAAUGAUGGGUUCAAAGAGUAAAUUAAUGGGUUCAAAUAGCCUCGCCCAAUUGAGAUUCCUAUAUCAUUAUUGUUGAAAUUUAAAUUUUCAAAGCGCUCAUAUUUCCCAAAUUAACUUUAAUUAGAUAUUCAUUCCUUUCUGAUUUUAAAUUAGUUUUUCAAAUCCAUAAAAUUUUCUAAUACUUUUUCAUUGAGGGUGAUAUUUGACCCCUUAGUUUCGCUAAGUAGUCCCCACUAUGCAAUUAACCUCACUUAUUUAAAAAAUGAUUGUUAUAAAAGAUAAAAAUAUAAUUAAAAUGAAAGCACAGAGGUAAAAUUGGAAUGAAACCUCACAUCAAUUAUUCUUAUUAAUAAACCUCAAGAUAGACAAUCAUUAUUCAUAUUCCAACUGAAUCCUUACGUAAAAUAUCUGAAAUAAAGUCUCUAAAAAAACGUCUCUAAUCCAAAAUAAAAAGUCUAGCUAAAUUUAAUCUUUACUGCAACUCCAAAAUCCACCAAAAAAAAAUCUUCAUCUAAGUAGCCAAGCCACAUCUCUAAUCAAUCUACAAAAUAUUGGAGACGAGGGUGAGCCGUCAACUCGGUAAGCAAAUCCAUGCACAAUAUUUGAAAACAUUUGUCAUUAUACCUUUAAACAUUUUAUAUCAUCUUAUAAUAACAUCUUCAUUUAGCAUAAUGGAUGGAUUCAUAUAAAAGCAUUAAAAAAUAUUAAAACAUAAACAUUUGGUAGCUCAUGCCUCAUAAUUAUCAUCAUUCAUCAUUUAUGGUACUAUACCCCACAUUAUUCAUCGUUGAGGGUACUAUACCCUGCAUUGUUCAUAGCAUCAUUAUGUACAAGAUCAUCACCAUACCAGCAAGCUGGCCAUAGCAUUACAUAAAAUCAUAACAUUUGCAUCUUAUACGUUACUACAGACUAUAAGUCAAAAUAUUUUUGAAUCCACCUUACAUCCUUUCAUAAAUAGCAUUUAAGGUCUUCUAAAACAUUUAAGAACCUUUUUUUGAUCAUUUAAUUCUUUAGAAAAUUUUUAAGAAAACAUUUUGUUUAAGAAAACUUAUUUCUUAAGAAAAAUCAUUUUAAAAUAUAUUUAUAUAAAUUCAUUUAAAAGUGUUUUUAUUUUACAAAUUUCAUUUAAAUAUUUUAGAAAUCAAUUUUGUAAAAAUUUCCAUUUAAACAUAAUUCUUAUAACAUAUAUUGCAUUUAUUAUAAAGCACAUCAUGCAUCAAUCUACUUAUCUCGAUCUGCAGCAAUCAACUCAAUACCUCAUAACAAACCAAUGAGUUCACAUGUGUCCUUAAGGCAAACACUAAACAAAGAAGUUAUAAAACCUUUUUUUCCUUCUCCAAAGACUUAUGUUUCUUUUUUUUUUUUUUAGGAUUUUAUAACGGUAUAAAAAAUAAAAGAAGGCUUCCUCUGAACUAUUUUUGGUAAUUAAUAAAUAUUUUUUAAAAAAAAAUAGAAAGCAAGAAAACGAGAGUUUUAAGAAAAUUCAUUUUUUAAUAAAAGCUAAUAACCUACGUAACUUAUUUAAAACAAAUUGAUAAGUUUUACUCACACACAAAUACCCAAUAUUAACUAUUCUAACCAAUUUAAUAAGGAUAAAAAAGGGAAGCACAUAACUAGCGUUACAUACACCCCCAAGGUUUAGGAAAAUUUUCAUAAAGACCCCAAGUUUUCAAUAAGAGACACCGAGACCUUUUUUUUACUAUAAUACCCUGCGACUCUAUAAAUCCCCAAAACAAUAACCCUAAAAAAUUUUAAUAAAUGGAAAUAUAACAUUAAAAUAAAUGUAAUAAUAUAUACAUUUCAAAAUAAUUUUAAUAUUUAAAAAUAUUUUUAUAUUUUUCAAUCUAUUAGACAUUUUUUUAUAUUAAAGUAAUUUUUAAUAAUAGAUAGAACUGCUGUACGGCCAAGGCGGAUGUACGGAUAUAUUAUUAAAAUAAAUAUAAUAAUUUAAAAUUUUAAUAAUAUUUUAAAUUUCACAAUUAAUUUAAUAUUGUUAGUCUACUAGAUAGACUAUAUUAUUUAUAUUAAAUUUGUGUUAAUUAAAAACCUUUAAAGUCAAUUUUCUACUUAUUAUAAUCAAAGGGUAUUAUAGGCAAAAAGAGGCUUUUUUGACCAUAAAUGGAAAUAUAGAUAGAAAAAUAAUAUUAAAAUAAAGAUCCCCAAGUUUUCAAUAAGGGAUACCAAGACACUUUUUUUACCAUAAUACCCUUUGACUCUAUAAAUCUUAAAAAAAACUCCAAAAAUUUAUAAUAAAUGGAAAUAUAGCGUUAAAAUAAAUGUAAUAAUAUAUACAUUUCAAAAUAAUUUUAAUAUUUAAAAUAUUUUAAUAUUUUCCAAUCUAUUAGACCUAUUUUAUUAUAUUAAAGCAAUUUUUAAUAAUAGAUAGAAAAAUAAUAUUAAAAUAAAUAAAUUAAAAUUAUUUUGAAUAUGAUGUAAAAGUUAAUUUUAAUAUAUUAAUAGGGAGAUUUAUUUAAUAAUUUAAAAUUUUAAUAUUAUUUAAAUGUAAAAAAUAAUUUAAUAUUAUUAGUCUACUAGAUAGACUAUAUUAUUUAUAUUAAAUUUGUGUUAAUAAAAAACCUUUAAAGUCAAUUUUCUAAUUACUAUAGUUAAAGGGUAUUAUAGGCAAAAAAAAGGUCUUGGUGUACAUUUUUUAAAACUUAGGGUCUUUGUGACCAUUUCCCCAAACGUUGGGGUUGUAGGUGUCCUUUUUUCCUUAUUUGAUUGUUUAUUUUUGUAAUGGUUCUAAUGGAAGUAAAAAAUGUAUCUUCUUCACUAUUUUUUUUUUUGUUUUGUUUUAGAAAUUUUAAAGAUCUUCUUAAUUGUUGUUGAAAUUAAAUAGCUAAAUAUGUAACAAAUUUUGAGACAUUUUAUACUUCUUUGUGUAUUGAAGUUGCAGAAUAAAAUCACGGAUCACAAAAAAAUUGGCCUAAGACUCCAAAAAUUCUAAUGUUGGCCCUGAACCAACUAAUGCAUGUAUGAUAUGUGUAAUUGAAUUUAAUAUAACCAUCACUUGUAUAGUGGUGUUAUAAAAUAAAUGCACAAUGUCAUAACAUCAUUUUUGUAUGGCUGACGCAUGUAAUUUUCUAAAAAAAGAUUAUAUAUAAAUACGUUUUUCUAGAAUAUAUGAGUAGAAAAUUUGAAAUUAGAAAAAUUAAUUAUUGUAAUGACACUUCUGACUUUUUACAAGAGUUCGAGAAACAUUAUUUCGAGUAAAUUGAUCACGAUUGUCGACAAAAGAUAAGAUUCAUUCUGCUCCCCAAAAUAGUACGAGAUUAACAACAACUUCAAUGAGGCUGCUGCAACACCGCGCAAUUCUGCUCCUUGGCCUCAACUGAAAUUUGUAAGUCUGGUUAGAGGUGGCAAUUUUUGACGACUCACCAACCUGCCACGAACACAAAAUAAAUUUGUCUCUGGAUUGGUUAAACUUGACACGAUUACAAAUUUUUGGUUCAGGUUGCUUGUUUGAUAUUCGUGUCGGGUUUAAAAUUUCUGACACGAAUAAUUAUUUGAUUAAUUAUAUUGUAGUGACCUACGUUUUAUUCAAUAGAACUACAUUAUACUUUUCAAAUGUACUACCUACAUUUUAAAUGAAAUUGAUAAGAGUUUAAGUAGGUAGUGCUACAAAGUUUCUAGACAAUAUAUUAAAAACGUGUUAAAAAGCUACAUAUUCAAAAAAAAUAUAAAAAUUAUGCAAAAUGGUUUACAUGAUUAUGCCAACCCUUGAGGAAUCUCAUAGCCACCACUGCCGUAUGGCGGUCCAUUUAUGCUGUUAGAUGAAGUAUAUAUAAAUAUAUACUAAGUUGAUGUAUCACUCCAUUAACAGUAAGAGAGGACACUGCUCUGUCAAAUUAACUAAUUAUUAACACACAAUAUUUCUGUGCUUGAAUUUCUCUCUAUUGAAUUCAACGAAAGAAAGAAAAAUAUAACUUGUGGGUUUUGGACCAUUUGGUUGGUUUCAGCAGUACUGAUUGAUCAGUUUGAGUUGCAAUGGAGGGCAAUAAUGAUAUCUACAUGGCCAGUACUAGUCUGCCAAGGAGUAUUUCUAGAUGGAGAACAAGCUCUAUGGGUGCAUUUUCGAGGUCUUCUAGGGAAGAAGAUGACGAGGAGGCUUUAAAAUGGGCUGCUAUUGAGAAAUUGCCCACUUAUAAUCGUUUGAAGAAAGGGCUACUUACUACUUCACGAGGAGAAGCUUUUGAAGUUGACGUUUCUAAUCUUGGACCGCAAGAAAGACAAAGGUUGAUCAAUAAAUUAGUGACGGUCCCUGAAGUUGAUAAUGAGAAGUUCUUGUUAAAGCUCAAGAAUCGCAUUGAGAGGUAACAUACAGAUUUCUUUUUUCUUUUUUUUUCUGCAGCUUUAGUCAGGAAUUUGUUCUAGUAAGGGGGAGUUCAAACAACAGUAUAAACUAAGAAGUAACAAAAUUUGAACUUUAUUGUAAUACGAGAGAAUAGUAGUGCAAGGGAAUCCUAAUUUUUGUAUAAAGGGCAAAAAAAAAAAAAAAAAGCAUAUAUUUAGGGUUAGGCAAAACCAAACCGAAUUAAAAAAAACCACCGAUAUAGUUUUCAUCAGUUACAUUUAGCUUCCGAAUUUUUUUUUUAUUAAAACCCAAAAUUCAUUUUGGUUUUCGACACAAAAUUUUUAGAAACGAAAUAUCAAACUUUGUGUCACUAUUUUAGUAAAAGAAAAUAAAAAUAAGAAGAUAAAUCGAAAUAGCGAGCUAUGUGGUUCCGGUUCGAUUCCAUUUUUAUUCAAUCUUUUCAAUUAGUCAAAACUGAAAACUGAACCAAACCACAAGUUAUCUGCAAUCAACUUUUUGCAUUGAUAUUAUUUAAAUUCUGAAAAAGUCGAACUAUUAGCACACCUCUUUUAAUUAUAUUUCACUUAAUGAUAAAAAUACCAUUUUUUUUAAAUAAACACUAUCUUCAUUUAUAGAUCUUACAAUUUCUAAUUUCAUCUUUUUCAGUCUUAAUAAUUGUUUUUCUCAUGAAACUUUCUUUAUUAUUUGAUUUCUAAAGAAAAAGUAAGAAAAACUUUAGAAAAUAAAGAAUAUUUUAUGCGUCUAAUACAGUUUUAUUGUACCUAUAAACUUUGGAUGCAACAAUUAGUUUGAGAAUCCUUAAAAAAUUAUUUGUAGUGAGAUAUAUUUUUUUCAUUUAUUUUCCCACUAUGUUGCAUCCUAAUUUUGUUGCUAUGUAUAUUAUAAGAAUAUUCUUGACUUAGAGGAUUACUUCUUAAAUUCAUAUUAUUUUAAUUAUAAUAAAAAAUUUAUAUUUUGCAAGCAAAAUAAUAUUGAAGAGAGAAAUAAAAUGAAAAUGGGGUUAGUCCUACUUAUAUUUGUUUUUAAAUAUAAUUGUAAUAUAAUAGGAGUUUUCUAAGAUUAAUGAAGGGGUGCCAAUAGUCCAACUCUUCUGAAAAAUCAUAAGAGUCUUUAAGCUAGUUUGGGAUUGCGAUUGUUGAUUAAAUAAACUGUUUUUACUGUGCUCAAACAAUAAGCAGUUGAUUAAAAAAGCAGUUUAGUUUUUGGUAAAUUAUGUUAUUGUAGUUGAUGUGAGUUUGAAAAACAGUGCACAUGCUUUUGGUAAAUUUUACAACAAAUGUAUUGUUCAUUAUAUAAUGACCAAACUAGACAUAAGUUUAAAACUUUAAAUUAUCUUUUUUUUCGGAGCAUAUUUAAUAAUAUUUGGACAUACGUUUUUCUUUUAAAAACACCUACAAUUACAUAAAGUGAAAAAAGAACUCAGUAAAUUUUUUAUAUAAAAUAUUAUAAAAAUUCAUACUAAUACAUAAUUCAAAUAAAAUAAAAAAGUAAUAUGCAUUACAUUUAUAUUAAACUUGAUGCAAUAAACAUCAUAACUAUAGAAAAAAAAAUAUAUAAACAGAUUGAAUAUUAAAAACCAUGGUUAUGAAAUUAAUUUUAAAAGUUAUGGUUAAUUUUCAUGUGAAAUUGUUCAAAGUUCAAAAAAAUUUACAUAAUUAUAUGUGAACCAUUUUUAAUCUUAUAAUAGAAAAUACAAGUAAAAUAUAAAAAAUAUGAACUUUCUAAAUCAAAACUUUGAUACUAUAGAGAAUAUAUAGUAGUUGUAGCGAUAAUUUGAUUGCGGUGGUAAUAUGAUUAAUAAUGGUUUAAUACUAUGGUGUAUGGAAAAGUAAGACAUAAUUAUUUUUUAAAUAUUAAAGUUAUAAUAGGAACUUUAAAAAGGUAUGAUAGCUUAUUUAAUAAGCUACCUAUCAAAACAACCUUCUACCCACUUUUAAAAACUACUGUCAAAAUGGAGAAAAUUAUGAAAUAAACAACUUUUACAAAAUUUACCAAACAUUAUUUUUUUCAUAAAUUAUAAAAUAAACAACUUAUUGAGUUUCAAUCUCAAUCCCAAAUGAAGCCUUUGUGAUAAAUCAACUUCUUUAAUUUUACUCAAACAACACUGGAUUCAACUAGGAAUGAAAAUGGGGAAGGGAGCAGAUUGAUAUCCCAUACCUAUCUUUAAUACUCUAUUUAAAUUUUUUUACCCUUCUCUUCAAAAUUACUUGAGAGGAGGUAAUAGGGAUUCUUGAGGGUACUUGAUCCCUGAAUAACUGAUAAUUUUAUUUUUCAAAAUUGAUUUAAUCUUAUAAAAGUAAAAGUAUGAAAUCGUAUUAUCAACACAAAAAUAUAAAAAAAAAAUAAAGUAAUUAAAAUCUUUUUCAUCAAACUAACUGAAUGUCAUCAAUAUUACAAGAUAAUUUAUAAAUUGAGCUAAAGUAGAGUUUCAAAGUUACAUACAUCCAUAAAAAUCACACGGUAUAAGUCAUCAACAAAAGUAUCUUUGUCAAGCUUCAAAUGUCUAUAUUAGUUGUAUUAUUUAUAUUAUUUUUAUAAGAUAUUAUGAUAAUUCUUUUUAUAUAUCCAUGCCAUUACAAUUUAAAAUUCAAAUGUACAUGCUGAAACUUUUAGAAGAAAUGAAAAAUAAAAAUAGAAAUUAGAAUUGAAGAGAGGAUGAGAAUUUUACCUAUUCUCAUCCAUUCCUAAAUAAGAUAUUGUGUAUUAAAUUAUUCUUAUCCCUUCGUUAAAUAAAAAUUAAAUAUAAAAUUAUACCCUCUCUCUUCAUCAGAAGAAAAUUUCUCUGACUCUGUUCCCGUAGAGAUUUCUAUCAUUUCUACACUCAACUCCAAUCCAUUAAAUAUUAGGAUAUUUUAAUCAAAAUUUUUAAGAGCUCACAAUGGACUAGACCCAUUUUGGGCCUUAAUUGAAUUCACUUGUGCAAUUAAUAUUCGUAUGUCUAUUUCAUGCUAUCAAUGAUUUUGUCAUCCAAUCUUACGUUCUAUUUAGUGCUAAGAUAUAUUGUAACCGUGCAGCAAAAGUUAGUAGUUAGCAGUAGCUCAUGGGUGUUUGGUAAACACUGCUAGGCACUAGGCAGUAGCUAUGGAUAAAAGUUAAUUGAUAGACCUAGAGGAAAUAAUUUUUCUCUCGUUCUUAUAAUUUGUAUCAGAGCCGGACCCGAUAGCUUUAAGUUCUUGUUAUUUAUGUUUGUGUGUUGUCUCUUUGACUUCCAAAUUUUCCCUGGUUUAGAGAUGAAAUAACUUUGCCUGAUUCCAACAAGUUGUAUCAGAGAAAGCUCAUGUUUUUGUUUUUUAUGUGUUUGUUGUCUUUCUAAGUUAUGACUUCCAAUUUUUCUGUGAUUUAAUUUUUCUCAGAGUUGGAAUUGACCUUCCCAAAGUUGAAGUUCGGUAUGAACAUUUGAAUAUUGAAGCAGAAGCGUAUAUAGCAAGUAAAGCCUUGCCAUCGUUCACUAAAUUCUAUACCAGCAUCUUUGAGGUAGCAUUACUCUUCAAAUAAAAGGUCAUUAAUUUUUAAAAAUUUUACUAUCUUUUUUCAUUUCUCGGCUCAAAGUUUAAUAAUCUGUGAAUUUUUGAAGGGUUUCUUGAACUAUCUCCACAUUCUUCCAAGUAGAAAGCAACAUUUGACAAUCCUCAAGGAUGUCAGCGGAUUCAUAAAGCCUGGCAGGUGAGAGUUAAAUAAUCUAUGGUCUCCUAAUUUAUUUGUACUUAUUUCAAUAUGUUGGUAGUCACCACAAAUUGUGCUCGUUUCUUUUGCUGCAGGUUGACAUUGCUUUUGGGUCCUCCAGCUUCUGGAAAGACUACACUUUUGUUGGCUUUGGCCGGGAAACUUGAUUCUAGUCUCAAGGUGCUGUUUUUCACUUUGUUAAAAUUAAGCUCUUGGAUGGGUUUGGCUUUGAGCAUUGUAAAGUUCACUCUUUUGCUUUUCACUCUUUGGUUUUCUCUCAACUUCGAGAAUGAAAAUAUCUCUCUAUAGGUUUCUGGUAGGGUGACAUACAAUGGGCACAACAUGGAUGAGUUUGUGCCUGAGAGAACAGCUGCUUAUAUCAGCCAACAUGAUAACCAUAUCGGUGAAAUGACUGUGAGGGAAACCUUGGCCUUCUCUGCUAGAUGCCAGGGGGUUGGAACCCGUUAUGGUAGCUUCUUGUUAAACCAUAGAAUUCAGACUGUAGUAUAUAUUUUUUGAUGUGGUAUAAGCAUUAAAGGCCUUUAUUUUUGGGAAGUGCAGAAAUGUUAACUGAGUUGGCAAGAAGAGAAAAGGCAGCAGGUAUUAAGCCCGAUCCUGAUAUUGAUGUCUACAUGAAGGUGAGAAAAGCAGAAGUUCGUACAAAACAUGUUUGGUGUUUAAAAAUUAAUAGAAUAGAGUUUAGUGAAAGAUGGGUUUUUUUAUUUAAGCUUCGCUUCAAUCAGGUUUUCCUAUAGCUUAAAAUACUAUCAUUUUACAUUUUUCUCAAUUGGAAAAAAAAAUAAAUUUGAAAUCAACCUUAUGGAGAUGGAUUUGAACUCUUCAUGAUUGAUUAUCUUGUAGUUCUCUGUCAAUUCUCUUGUCUCUGCAGGCAAUAGCAACUGAAGGCCAAGAAGCCAACGUGAUCACUGAUUAUUAUCUAAAGGUGUCAUUUUUACGAAUCACUCUAUAAACAAUUGUGAAACGAUUGUGGAUUUUUCUCAAGAAAGUCACUUGUUUGAAUGAUUUUUAAUAUAAAUAUGUAGGUUCUCGGACUGGAUGUCUGUGCAGAUACUGUAGUUGGCGAUGAAAUGAUAAGAGGUAUAUCAGGAGGACAAAGGAAGCGUGUCACAACUGGUAAGUACAUAACUCUAUAAGUUCAUUUCUAUUGUUUGCAAUGAUUUGUUGAAAUAAAUGACAAUUUGUAUUUCAAAUUAUAGGUGAAAUGAUGGUUGGUCCAGCGUUGGCACUAUUUAUGGAUGAGAUUUCUACUGGUUUGGACAGCUCGACGACGUUCCAGAUUGUUAAUUGUUUCAAGCAAAAUAUUCACAUCAAUUGUGGCACUGCUGUGAUAUCACUCCUACAGCCAGCACCAGAAACUUAUAAUUUAUUUGAUGAUAUUAUCCUUCUAUCUGAUGGCCAGAUUGUGUACCAGGGACCCCGUGAACUGGUGCUAGAGUUUUUUGAAUCCAUGGGCUUUAAAUGCCCCAAAAGGAAAGGCGUGGCUGACUUCUUGCAAGAAGUAUGUUCUAAUAGAGCUCUUGCUAUGAUAUGUCUUUUUCUUAAUAUUUUAAUAAAAAUGUUGUGGCUUAUCUUUAAAAAUAAUAUAUUGCAGGUGACAUCAAAGAAAGAUCAAAAGCAGUAUUGGGUACAUAAAGAGAGGCCAUACAGGUUUGUUACAGUCCAGGAAUUCACCGAGGGAUUCCAAUCAUUCCAUGUGGGACAGAAAAUUUCUGAUGAGCUUCAGACUCCAUUUGAUAAGAGCAAGAGCCAUCGAGCUGCUUUGACCACAGAAGUGUAUGGUGCUGGCAGGAGGGAGUUAUUGAAAGCUUGCAUCUCAAGAGAACUUUUGCUGAUGAAGAGGAACUCAUUUGUCUACAUUUUCAAGCUCAUACAAGUGAGUAUCAACUUAAUUUUGAGUUGUUCUAAUCAUUUCUUUAUGUUAUAUUGGUUUAUUGAUUAUGUUUCCCGUCAUUAGAUUGCAUCUGUCGCAUUGGUCUAUAUGACACUCUUCUUCAGGACAAAGAUGCACAAAGAUUCAGUUACUGAUGGUGGAAUUUACGCUGGUGCCUUGUUCUUCGCCACUGUGAUGGUUAUGUUCAAUGGAUUUUCAGAGAUUUCUAUGACCAUAGCCAAGCUUCCUGUCUUCUACAAGCAAAGAGAUUUCCGUUUCUUUCCUCCGUGGGCUUAUGCUAUACCCUCAUGGAUCCUCAAGAUCCCUAUCUCUUUCCUGGAGGUUGCUGUUUGGGUAUUCUUAACAUAUUAUGUAAUUGGGUUGGAUCCCAAUGCUGGAAGGUAAGCAGAAAGAAAAUGGUCCAAAUUGACAUGUAACCAAUGACAUUUUUUCUGCAGGAUAUAUUUAUCCAACAAGUUGAUGUGAUGAUUUUGUUGUUGCAGGUUUUUUAAGCAGUAUUUUCUGCUUUUGGCUGCUAACCAGAUGGCAUCUGCAUUGUUCCGAUUAAUUGCAGCAACAGGCAGGAACAUGGUUGUUGCUAACACAUUUGGUUCAUUCGCAUUACUCGUGCUUUUCUCAUUGGGUGGAUUUGUCCUUUCUCGAGGUACAGAAAAUAUACUAGUAAAUGAGACAAAAUUAGCUUCUUUUAUCAAAAUUAAACUAUAAUAUUGCCGUUUCCUUGUUUCAUAAUGCAGAGGACAUCAAAAAAUGGUGGAAAUGGGCUUACUGGUGUUCUCCAUUGUCGUACGCACAGAAUGCAAUAGUGGCAAAUGAAUUUCUUGGGCACAGUUGGAAAAAGGUAAUUCUUCCACCCUUAUCCAUGAUUGUUUAAUUAUUUAUUAGCAGCUUACUGAUAUCUGAUGUGUGUAUUUUAUAUCAUAGUUUACUCCAAACUCAAUUGAAUCACUUGGAGUCCAAGUUUUGAAGUCUCGUGGGUUCUUCGCACAUGCAUAUUGGUUUUGGCUUGGAUUGGGGGCUUUGUUUGGUUUUGUAUUGCUGUUCAACCUUGGUUUCACUUUGGCUCUUACUUUUCUUAACCGUGAGUAUUGUUACCAUCUUCGUUUGAAUUACUUCUAUGGCAAUGAGUUUACGUUCGAAUUUCUGGCAAAACAUAUUUACAGGAUUAGAGAAGCCUCGGGCUAUUUUAACAGAGGAAUCUGAAAGUAAUGAGCAAGAUAGCACAAUUGGAGGAACUGUUCAGUUGUCGACCCAUGGAGGUAGUUCUAGGCGUUAAACACGCAUCUAUGACAAAACUAGUUCGAUACAUUUGAGCAAGAGUGAGAUAUCUCUUUAACAUCGUCUUAUCAUAAUAAAUUAUUUUAAACAUGCAGAGAGUGGGAAUGACAUUAGGGAGAGAAACUCCUCUUCCCACUCCUUAACCUUGACAGAAGCAGAGGGCAGUCAUCCAAAGAAAAGAGGAAUGGUUCUUCCAUUUGAACCUCAUUCCCUUACAUUUGAUGAGGUUGUGUACUCUGUUGAUAUGCCACAGGUAAUAUUAAUUUGAAAAAUUAUUAGGCAAUAUUUAGAAAGUUCGAUAAUAUCUUCAUUCAUUACAAUGUAGUCCAGGUGUGAUGACCAAUUGGUUCGAUUUUACUUUGCAGCAAAUGAAACUUCAAGGUGUUUCUGAUGACAAAUUAGUGCUUUUGAAUGGUGUGAGCGGUGCCUUCCGGCCAGGUGUACUAACUGCCUUAAUGGGCGUUAGUGGUGCUGGUAAAACCACUUUGAUGGAUGUGCUGGCAGGCAGGAAAACGGGCGGUUAUAUUACUGGGAACAUAAAAGUAUCAGGUUACCCAAAGAAGCAAGAAACUUUUGCUCGCAUUUCAGGAUACUGUGAGCAGAAUGACAUCCACUCUCCGUUUGUUACUGUAUACGAGUCCUUGCUCUAUUCAGCCUGGCUCCGUUUACCACCUGAAAUUGAUUCUGAAACCCGAAAGGUUGGUACUGAAAUCACCUGGAGAGUUGGGUCAUUGAGAGCUAAAACAAGUUAAACAGAGUCAGAAAGAAUAGAAAAGUUUGAUUCCCUAACUACAUUAUUGGAAAUGGUCAUACUAAUUUUUAGUUUUACCCUUAAUUUGCAGAUGUUUAUUGGGGAAGUCAUGGAGCUUGUGGAGCUGAAACCACUGAAACAAUCACUAGUUGGUUUGCCUGGUGUAAGUGGUCUGUCAACAGAGCAGCGCAAGAGACUUACCAUUGCAGUUGAGCUGGUGGCUAACCCAUCAAUCAUAUUUAUGGAUGAGCCAACCUCAGGGCUAGAUGCAAGGGCUGCUGCAAUCGUUAUGAGAACUGUUCGAAACACAGUAGACACUGGAAGGACUGUUGUGUGCACCAUCCAUCAACCAAGCAUUGACAUAUUUGAAGCUUUUGAUGAGGUAAGAAAGGUUAAAUCUUGAUCAAAUUAUCAAAAAGUUCGUUUUCUCCCAUCUAUUGAUUACAAUUAUUCAAAAACGCGUUGCAGCUAUUCCUAAUGAAGCGAGGGGGAUAUGAAAUUUAUGUCGGGCCAUUGGGGCGCCAUUCUUGCCAUCUUGUCAGCUAUUUUGAAGUAUGUUCUGAAGCACAUUUUCAUAAUACAAUGGAAAUCUAACUGCAAUAUCACACUUACAUAAUUUACAUCAUGAUACUAGCUGAUGCAAGUUAAUUUGUUUUUAUAAGGCAAUUCCUGGAGUUGAGAAAAUUAAAGAUGGUUAUAAUCCUGCAACUUGGAUGUUGGAAGUGUCGGCUCCAUCGCAAGAAGUUGCUUUGGGGGUUGAUUUUUCUGAUAUUUACAAACGCUCAGAGUUAUACAGGUAUGUUUGUGAUGUACUACUAGGUAGCAUAGCCAAUGGACCAAAAUCCAUUCAACAAUGCCAACACAUUUGUUUAACUCAAAGAUGAAUGUGUCAGGAGAAACAAAUCACUUAUUGAAGAUUUAAGCAAGCCUGCUCCAGGCUCAAAGGACCUCCAUUUUGCUGCUCAGUACUCUCAGUCAGCUUUCACCCAAUUUCUGGCUUGCUUAUGGAAACAACACUGGUCAUACUGGCGAAAUCCAGCAUACACUGCUGUUAGAUUCUUUUUUACAACCUUUAUAGCAUUGUUGCUUGGGUCAAUUUUUUGGGACUUGGGCGGUAAAACGUAAGUGCUAACUAGUUGUCUGGAACAGUUUAUAUUUAGAUGAUGUUCGUAAGUCUUGUUGUUUCAUCUGCCUUUUAAUCUUAAUUUUCACUUUUCAAAUUUUAGGGAAAAGAGGCAAGAUCUGUUAAAUGCAAUGGGUUCCAUGUUUACUGCUAUUAUGUUCCUGGGCAUUCAAUAUUGUUCAUCAGUGCAGCCAAUAGUAUCCGUUGAAAGGACAGUCUUUUACAGAGAAAAAGCUGCUGGCAUGUACUCGGGCAUUCCAUGGGCGUUAGCACAAGUAAUCGUUUGACAAGUUACAUGUCCAUAUUAAAUGUUAUAAGAAAUGUGUUUCAUCCUGAUUAUUAAUUUUUCUUUCCUGCAGGUUAUGAUUGAGAUUCCUUAUAUAUUUGUCCAGUCACUAGUGUACAGUUCUAUAGUCUAUGCUAUGAUGGAAUUUGACUGGACAGCCGCAAAGUUCUUUUGGUAUAUAUUCUUCAUGUACGUCACAUUGUUGUUCUUCACCUUCUAUGGCAUGUUGACUGUGGCUAUAACACCAAACCACCACAUUGCUGCCAUUGUUUCGACUUUAUUUUAUGGGAUAUGGAACAUCUUCAGCGGGUUUAUAAUCCCAAGACCCGUGAGUACCAUCCUGCUAUUUCUAUUGUAUAUGCUAGAUUUUCUUGCUUAUGGAAUUUUUGUUAUUCGUCCUUUUCUCAUCUUUCUACUUGUCAAACCACAGAGGAUUCCUGUAUGGUGGAGAUGGUACUAUUGGGCAAACCCUAUAGCUUGGACCUUGUAUGGAUUGAUUGCUUCCCAGUUUGGAGAUAUGGAGGAUAAAAUGGAAAGCGGUGAAACAGUAAAACAUUUUCUAAGAGAUUAUUUUGAUUUUAAACAUGAUUUUCUGGCAGCAGUUGCGGGUGUCCUUACUUGCUUUCCAGGGCUCUUUGCACUUCUCUUCGCCGUAGCAAUUAAGCAGCUUAAUUUCCAGAGGCGAUAGAAAUUUAAUUUGAUUUUGAAGAUCAAGCUUGUGCUUCAUGGGAAAAGAACUGGUACUAAACAUGUGAUGUACAACGGAAACCACGUCGCGGAAGGCUUAGCUAAUCUGUUUUGGAGUAUCUCCACCAGAAUGUAUCCAAUAAUACGGUUCCUCUAUAGUAUCAUCUUAUAAAAAUUGGGUGGGAAGUUAUCCUUAACUGUGCUAUUUGGAGUUUAAUUUCCUGAAUCUGUAGAAGUUUAAUUUCAUUUCUUAGAUGAUGUCUGGCUUACUGCUACCAAACAUUGGGGGGGCACAAUUAGGAGAAUCGGGUCGGGGAUGCCUUGGCUAAAUUGAGCAUGUUAUUCUUCAUCUUUUCAGGAAUUUACAUCUGUAUUAAUGGCAGGAGGUGGUUAAUGUAGUAUAUGAUGCAAGAAGAUAUAACUUUUUAAUUUGUUACCCAGGUGCCAUUUCAUACUUUAGAUUACACAUAAUUAAUGAUGUGAAGCAAAAGUGACCUGGCUGAGUGGUUGGUUCCAAGCAACUUUAUUUGACUGGCUACACGAGUUCAAAUUUUAGAGAAAAAUAAAAACGUUUAUUGUUUAUUAAAACAAAUGAGGCAAACAAUGUGGAAAUUAAAACAAAUGAAGAUAAUAACCAUCCCAAGCACGUCUGGGGUCAACAAAAGGUCACAUUUUUAAAUAUAUUUUUUUAUGAGAUGAAAAAUUGAAGUGUAAAGUUUAUUGUUUAUUAUUUAUUUAUUUAUUUAUUUAUUUUUCUCACUGGUUGGAGUUCAAGAAAUCAUAACUUUAAUCAAAUGGAUCACAACUCACGACAAAAGAUGAUGAGAAAAAUUUCUGUAAGAUAAGCACACCAUUUCAGUAGAUUGAGGAGGUCUUCCUGUCCAAUAAAAAUUUGUCAAAUGACAAAUCUAACGAGCCUUGUGAUGGGAUUGCGAUCUAUUAAUUUUUUUUUUUUUUAAUUUUAAAUUUUGCAAUGCCAGUAUGCCACCAACAUUAUAUUGGUGGAUGCCAUCAAGGGACCUACCAAAUCAACCAACAUUAUACUGGUGGACGCCAUCAAGGGACCUACCAAAUCUACCAUUUGAUUAAUGAUUAUGUGAUUAGCACUCCACCAUAACGUAUUGGGGUGGUGCGGCUGUCGUACAGAAAUCUUUGUCGAAGUCUGUUGAAGCACUGUUUAAUGUGAAAGUUUAGCUUACUUUUCUUGCAUAAAGACAAGGGGGUAAAAAAACUUGUAAAUAAAAUAACAACCAAAUUAUUGAAAAGCCGUGUAUAACAUAACUAAUGAUGAUUUUAACAAAAAAAUAAUAAUUAUUAUCUUCUAUUCUCCUUUAAACCCUGUUUUUAUAAAUCAUCAUCCCUAUCUAUAAAUAUAUGUUUGGAUAGUAAUGGCUUGUUUAGUAUUAAAAUUAUGCAGCUGUAGUUUUAAAAUAAUAGUAUUAAAAUAUUUGGUAAACAUUAUUUGCGGUAACUUGAAACUUAUAUUGAUUUGAUCCCGCAAUUAUAUGAUGAAAAACUUACAAUAUAAUUAUUAGUUUUAUAAAAAUUAUUAUUUAAAUUCAUAUUUACUAUAUAUUAUAAAAUUUUAUUUUAUAAUUACGGUUCUUUUUCCACAACAACUAUAAUUAAAAGGUACAACAACUCAAUAUCAGAUAGGACUAAGUCUUAUCCCUAAAAAAGAAAUUAAGAUUUAAGGAUAGGCAAAUGUUCUUUACAUUCAUGGAGUUUUGUUUAAUAGCUCAUUAUAUUUUUAUAGUUUGUAAAAUGCAUCAACACAUCAUUCUCUCUCAAUUUUAAAAGUUUUAUUCCUGAUGAAUUUAGAUAAAUUAAAUAAAGAACGCAAUUUUUUUUAAUUAUUUAAGUAAGAAAUGAUUAAUAAUUUUUUUUUCACUAUUGUUCAAAUUUUUACAAUAUAAUUAUUAAUCAAAUAAAACAUAUUUUUUGUAAUAGAAAAUAUUUGAAUUUGUUUAGGAGUAAAGCAGAAGCAUCUUCUGAAUGCAAUUUAUUCUGUCUAACAUAGAGAGACCAACGAGGGAGAAGCCAUCUGUUCUGAAGACCAAGGAAAAUUAACUAGUAUUGAGUCGCACUCAAUCCAAAGCUAAUGCCACUGUCGAGCAAAACCAUUCUAAAAAAACAUAAAUAACUGUCAUGAUUUCGGCUUUAAAAAACUCCACCAUAAGCUGAAGCAUCGCAUCCAAAUUUUGGCCUUAAUCCAACCGAAAGGGGGAAGGCAGCAUAUCAAGGGCCUGUUUCCUGUACAGGUGUAUCAAUUGUAGUUUAAAAGUUAAGUUAUGGUUUUAAAAUAUUUGAUAAAUAUUUGUUAUUAUAAUUUAAAAAUAAAAUUACACUAAUUUAAUCAAAAUAGUUCUCGAAUCUGAUUAUAUUUCACGCCCAUCAAAAUUCCUUAAUAUAAUAAACAUAACCAUAGCCAGCAGCAAAUUAAUUGGACACUUUAGAGCGAGGGUAUUAGUUGAGAUAGGCAGCUGAAAGCAGAGAAACGGCACUAGCCAUUCCCACUAGCUGCGCACAUAAGAGCUCAGUGAAGGUAAAAAGGAGAACCUCUUAUUCCUUGUGGCUCAAAAUCUUGCAGAGACUCCAUUCAAACCACAAAAAUAAAGACUUUAUAAUAUAGACAAGACAAAAUCUUGCACUCUGUCAUCUGCGCAAGUUUCCAUAUUGCACAUUUUAAUUGUUUACCUUUAAAAUGUGCAUUAAAGCUAAAGACUUUAAACGUGUAUAUACUAGUACACGAUGCAAAUUUGUAAACAUGUUUUUCUGGCAUAUGAGUAAAAAUUAAAUUGAAAAUUCAUUGUUACAAUGACAUCUCGAACUUUUUUACUCUAGGAUGGUCAAGAAAAGAUAAUCUCGAUCAAAUGGUUGUCUGUGAUUAUUGACACUUAUGCAUUCAAAGUAGAAAAAAAUGCCCUUAGCCUUAUGUGUCACAUGAUAGUCACACUUUUUGUAUAGUGUUCACUUGUUGGAGUAGGAUUGGAAAACGUGGACUUCUCUCACUCCAGGCGCUUACUUGCUCAUUUAAGAAGGGGUGCGAGAGUCCCACUCCAUAUGUCCCACUUAUUUUUGGAGUGAGGAGUGGUUUAUUUCAACAAAUUAACUUCGGAUUGGGAAUCCCACUCCAUGGGCCCCACCCAUUUUUGGAGUGGGGAGUGGGAGUGGGAGUGGGACUCCCAUGGGAAGAGGUGGGAGUGGAAAUACCCUUUUUAAUUUAAUUUAACUUAAUUUAAUAUUUAAUAUUUAAUAAAAUAAAAUAUAUUAUAUUUAUUUGAUUAAUAUUAUUAUAUUUAUUUAAAAAAUAAUAGUACUAUAUUUAUUUAAUAUUAAUAAUAAAUAGUUUAUUCUAAGAAAAUAUUAAUUUUGUACUAUAUUAUUAAUAAUAAUGUUUCAUUUUUGUUACUCUUAUCAAUAAUAUUUAACUUACAUAACUAAAAUUAAAAUUAAUAAUAAAAUAAAUAGUUUAUUUUAUAAAUAUAUUCUUUUAUUCACUUUUUAAUUAAAAACUAGUACUUUUUAAAUAAGGGUAAAAUUAUAAUAUGAAACAAUUUACUCCCAAUCCAAAAUGAUGUAAAUAUAUAAAUGAGAUUUUGAUUUUUAUUCUACACUUUUGUUCCAGUGUAAGUAAACAACUUACUUCCACUCUGACUCCACACUCCUAAUAUCAAUAUUCUCACUUUUCAAAUUUCUUAAUCCAAUUCGAGACUCAGAAGUAAACGAUAUUUUAACAUAGUAUGAGCAUAAGUUUGCUGUUGUAAGAGGUAGUGAAUUUAGACUCAACAAGAUAUUAUCUUGGAUGCUUUUAUAACUCUUUUCGAAAUUCAAACAACCUUUUACGUUGAGAUUAUCGCUGUAAUAAUCGGGAGAGAUCUUAGUGGUCAAAUAUAGUGGACUAAUGUUUGGUUGUAAUAGGAUAUUACAUGUCUACCCUACUAAAUGAUUGGAUUGUAAGUCUCGGGUCCCGGUAUGAAUUUCGUUGCCUCUCUCUUCUUUCUCUUUCGCGACGCCAGUACGCCACCCUUUUCUGAAUAUUUUAGCUGACACUGACAUGUUCCAUUCCUUUUAUAACCAUAAGUAUAAGCGGAGUUGUUAUAUAUACCAAGCCAUUUAUCGUAAGAGAUAACAUUGCCCUGUCAAGUUAAUUAACUGAUACACAAUAUUUCUUCUGUGCCUGAAUUUCUGUCUGUUGAAUCCAACAAAAAGAAAGAAAAAUAUAACUUGUGAGUUUGGUUGGUUUCAGCAGUACUAAUUGAUCAGCUUGACUUUGCAAUGGAGGGCAGUCAUGAUAGUUACUUGGCGAGUACUAGUUUGCGUGGGAGUAUUUCUAGAUGGAGAACAAGUUCUGUGGGUGCAUUUUCGAAGUCCUUGAGGGAAGAAGAUGAUGAGGAGGCUCUAAAAUGGGCCGCUCUUGAGAAACUGCCUACUUAUAAUCGUUUGAGGAAAGGAUUACUAACUACUUCACGAGGUGAAGCUUUCGAAGUUGAUGUUUCUAAUCUUGGACUGCAACAAAGGCAAAGGUUGAUCAAUAAAUUGGUGAAAGUCACUGAAGUUGAUAACGAGAAGUUCUUGUUGAAGCUCAAGAGCCGCAUUGAUAGGUAAAAAUUCUCUUUCUUCAGCACCUUCAAGGGGGUAUUCAGAAAUUUGAUAUAGGAAGGAAGAGUCAUUCAGACAACAGUAAUUUUUUUUCUUAAAUCUCUCUCUUUUAUAGUAAUUUUUUCUAUUUUCAGAACAGUUUAUAAACUUAUGCAAGGGUUGUUUUUAAAAGUAUUAUAUAAAAUAAUUCUUCAAAUAAUUAAUAACGCUCUUAGAGUCUCUACCUCGACCUUUUUGUUUUAACAAAUUAAUAAGAACUUAUUUUACUGACCAUAACCCUAAUAUAUUAUAUUAUCAGAGUGACGCUACUGCAACCCCCUUUUUUCUCUUAUAAAACACCUAUUGUAAUGUAUUUACAAUUUUAUCCUCUAUUUUUUAAAAUUAUAUUAAAAAGAAAAAAGAUAUCUAUACCCUUACAAUUUGAAAAAAUAAUCACUAACACUCAAAUUUUCAAAAAGGGACACCAGGACCCCUUUUAACCAUAAUAUCCUUUAUCUCUAUUAUCCCAAAAAAAAAUCACUCUAAUGUUUUAUAAGAAAUCAAAAUAUAAUAUUAAAAUAAAUGUAUUAAAAUUUAAAUUAUUUUGAAUGUUAUGUAAAAUAAUAAUUUUAACAUUACUAGUAUGUGCGAUUUUUUUAAUUGUAAAAUUUAUUUAAUGCAAAAUUUUAUUUAAAAUCUCUACAAUGAAAACAAAUAUAUUAUUAAAAUAAAUAUAAUAAUUUAUAUAAUAUUGUAUAAUAGAGGUAAAGUAUUAUGGUUAAAAGGAGGUUUUGAUAUCCUUUUUUGAGAACUUAAAGGUGUUGAUGACCAUUUCUCUAAACCUUGGGGGUAUAGAUGUCCUUUUUCCUAUUAGAAAUUAAAAUUUAUCUAAUUAAACCCCUCUUUUCCCAUCACAAACUCUUUAAAUCUACAAAGUUAAUCAAUUAAAAGAGUAAUAAUUUGAUUAAAAUAAGUUUGAUUCACUUAUUUACAAUUUAUUUUUACAUUCUAUUUUGGUUAAUUUAAAACUUGAAUCAAAUUCAACUCAAAUUUUCAGUUCAAAUCAAAAACCAAAUUAAACUUAGAUAUGUAUUGAGAGGUUUUGCUAUGAUAUUUCCCUAUUUGAAAUUUCAAUUCAUCCCUUAAAUAAAAUUAUAAUUUUUAAUUUAUCCUCAAAAGUAUGAAAACCUUAAUAUAUCCUCAUUUUUCGUUUAAAAGAUGAGGCAAAUAGGAUGCGUGUUAAUGAUUUUUUUUUUUGUCUUUUUAAUAGUAUAUGAGGAUAAAUUGAGGUUUCAUACUUUCCUAUGAUAAAUUGAAAACUGCCACUUUAAGUAGGGAGUAGGGAGUAGGGAGUAAAUUAAGAUUUACCCUAUUUAAAAAUUUUGAAAAAUCAAAAGGUACUUUAUGUUAAAUCAACUUUUAUUCUAAAGGGUAAAUGAUUGCUUAGUACUUAUAUUUUAGAUUAAAUAAUUAUUUAGUCUUAUUUUAAAAAAUAUCUUAAGACAUUUUUAUUAUUAAAUAUGUUACACUUUUGUUCUUACUUUUUUCUCAAACUUUACAAAAAUAUCUUUGCAAUAAUCUUGGGACAUAAUAAAAAGAAAAAAAUGUUAAUCAAUCCAUCAACUUUUAAAAGUAAAUAAAAAUUAAUGUAAAAAUUUCUUGCUAUUAAUAAAAAUUAAUGUAAAAAUUUCUUAUAUUAUUUUGCUUCUAAAGUUAAUUUGAUAUUAAUUUGGUAUUUGUGAAUAAAAUUAUUAUGUAUUGUAAAAGUAAAGAACUAAUAAAGCUAAGAGUGUAACAUAUUUAACAGUAGAGUUGUUUUAGAAUAUUUUUCAAAAUAUAAUGAUUAAAUAGAUAUUUAAUUUAAAAUAUAAGAAUUAAAUAAAUAUUUAUCUUCUUUUUAUUUAAAUUGUACUCCUAUAACAAAAAACUCCAAUUUUUAAUGUUCAGGAUAAAGGAAUGAAGUGUCAACUAACUCAAUUAAAAAUGAUUUGUUGGCUAAUAAAUCAUACGCCUGUGGAAUUGAUAUUCAUAUGAACAGUAAUACUAGUAUUUGAAUGUUGAUUCGUAUUUGCAAUUAAUUGGUAGAACUCGACAGGAUCUGAGAUGAAAUUACCUCAAUAUUAACUUGUGAUUUUCAAAUUUCCCGAUCAAUGACUAUUCAGCCGGUGACCGUAAAUAUUAAUUUAUAAAAAAAAAAUUACAUAUUUUGUUCAAAUAUUAUUCUAAAUUAAAUAUUUUUAAAAAAUAAAAUAAUAUUUUGUGUCAUCGGUAAUAAAUAUUGAACACCGACCCCUACUCUCUAUUGUUUAUUAUUACAUGAACUUGUGUUGACAACUACUUCAAAAGUUCUUGUCAUUUAUGUGCGAGCAUGUUCUUAAGUUAUGAUUUUCAAUUUUUAUUUUGAUUUUUCUCAGAGUUGGAAUAGACCUUCCCAAAGUGGAAGUUCGAUAUGAGCAUUUGAACGUUGAAGGGGAAGCGUACUUAGCAAGUAAAGCCUUGCCAUCUUUCACUAAAUUUUAUACCACCGUCUUUGAGGUAGCAUUACUCUUCAAAUCAAGAGUCAUUAUUUUGUUAGUUUCGAGGCUCAAAUCUUAAUUAUCUGAGUGUCUUUGAAGGACAUCUUCAACUAUCUCGGCAUUCUUCCCAGUAGAAAGAAACACUUGACAAUCCUCAAGGAUGUGAGUGGAAUCAUAAAGCCCGGCAGGUGAGAAUCCAAAUUAAUUCCUAUUGUUUCUUAAUUUACUUGUAAUUUCUUGAAUUUAUGGGUACUUAAUUAUCUAAGAAUUGUGCAGAAUGACACUGCUUUUGGGUCCUCCAGCAUCUGGAAAGACCACACUUUUGUUGGCUUUAGCUGGGAAGCUUGAUUCUAGUCUCAAGGUGCUUUUUUUUUUUUUAAUUGAUUAAUUUAUUUUUUUUUUACAUUGAUUAAUUUUUUUUUUUUUACAUUGUUAAAAUUAAGCUCUAAUUUUAGCAUUACUUUUUCAUCUUUGGUUUUAUCUCUGAUUAGAGGAAUCAAAAUGUCUCAUUGUAGGUUUCUGGUAGGGCGACAUACAAUGGGCACGACAUGGGUGAGUUUGUGCCCGAGAGAGCAGCUGCUUACAUCAGUCAACAUGAUAAUCAUAUAGGAGAAAUGACUGUGAGGGAAACCUUGGCCUUCUCUGCUAGAUGCCAGGGGGUUGGAUCCCGAUAUGGUAGCUUUUUUCUUUUUUUCCUUCCAACUAUAAAAUUCAGAUUGUGGUAUGUAUUUUUUUGAUAUAGUACAAGCAUUUAAGGUUCAUUGCUUUUGAGAAAUGCAGAACUAUUAACUGAGUUGGCCAGAAGAGAAAAUGAAGCAGGUAUUAAGCCUGAUCCCGAUAUAGAUGUCUACAUGAAGGUGAGUGAAAUGUGGGCUUUUAUUUUUAAUCCUCGCCUCGUUUUUGUUUUCCUAUGGCUUAAAAUCCUAGUAUUUGACCUUUGAUAUUCAAAUCGUUGUGCCAUUUUCCUGAAUUGGAUCAGUUUGAAGCAUGGGAUUUCACCUUUUUGCCUCUAAAAAAUAGAAUUAGACUAGAAUCAAUUUUAUGGACAGGGAUUUGAACUCUUGGUGAUUGAGUAUCUUAUUUCUCCAUCAAUUCUCUUGUCUCAGGCAAUAGCAACUGAAGGCCAGGAAGCCAAUGUCAUCACUGAUUAUUAUCUGAAGGUAUCGUGAUUAUGAAUAACUCUAUAAACCAAUUGUAAAUUUUUCUCAAGUAACUAAUGUCACCUGUUUGAAUGAUUUUCAACAUAAAUAUAUAGGUUUUGGGACUUGAGGUCUGUGCAGAUACCAUGGUAGGAGAUGAAAUGAUAAGAGGUAUAUCUGGAGGAGAAAGGAAGCGUGUUACAACUGGUAAAUGCAUGACUCUAUAAAUUCAUUUCUAUUGUUCACAAUGAUAAAAAUGUAAUUAUAACUUUCCAUUCAAAUAAAUGACAAUUUGUAUUUCGAAUUAUAGGUGAAAUGAUGGUUGGUCCAGCGUUGGCACUAUUUAUGGAUGAGAUUUCCACUGGUUUGGACAGCUCAACGACUUUCCAAAUUGUUAAUUGUCUCAAGCAACAUGUUCACAUCAAUAGUGGAACUGCUGUGAUAUCUCUCCUACAGCCAGCACCAGAAACUUAUGAUUUAUUUGAUGAUAUAAUCCUUCUAUCUGAUGGCCAGAUUGUAUAUCAGGGUCCCCGUGAGCUGGUGCUGGAGUUUUUUGAAUCCAUGGGCUUUAAAUGCCCCAAGAGAAAAGGAGUGGCUGACUUCUUGCAAGAAGUAUGUGGUGAUAGAGCACUGCAUCUGAUCUUUUCUGUUCCUAGUACUAUUUGCAAAUAAUACAGAAGCUUAAGACACGUAACCUUUUUUUAUUCAAUCUUUAGAAAUAUAAUGUGUUGCAGGUGACAUCAAGGAAAGAUCAAAAGCAGUAUUGGACACAUAAAGAGAAGCCUUACAGGUUUGUGACAGUCGAGGAAUUUGCUGAGGCAUUCCAAUCAUUCCAUGUGGGACAGAAAAUUUCUGAUGAGCUUCGGACUCCAUUUGAUAAGAGCAAGAGCCAUCGAGCUGCUUUGACCACAGAAGUGUAUGGCGUUGGCAAGAGGGAGUUGUUGAAAACUUGCAUCUCAAGAGAGCUUUUGCUGAUGAAGAGGAACUCAUUUGUCUACAUCUUCAAGCUUACCCAAGUAAGUAUCAACUUAAUUUUGAAUUAAUUUAAUCAUUUCUUUAUGUGAUUGAGAUUUGUUGAUUAUUUCUUCCCCCCUGAUAUUAGAUUUCAUCCGUCGCAUUGGCCUUUAUGACACUCUUCUUCAGAACAAAGAUGCACAAACAUUCAGUAACUGAUGGUGGAAUUUAUGCUGGUGCCUUGUUCUUUGCCACUGCAAUGGUCAUGUUUAAUGGACUUGCGGAGAUUUCUAUGACCAUUGCCAAGCUUCCUGUCUUCUACAAGCAAAGAGAUUUCCGUUUCUUUCCUCCAUGGGCUUAUGCUAUUCCCUCAUGGAUCCUCAAGAUCCCCAUCUCGUUCCUGGAGGUUGCUGUUUGGGUAUUCUUAACUUAUUAUGUAAUUGGGUGUGAUCCCAAUGCUGGAAGGUGAACAGAUAGAAAAUCAACCAAAUUGACUAUUAACCAAUGGCAUUUUCAUUACAUGAUAUCUUUAUCCAACAAGUUGAUGUGAUGAUUUUCUUGUUGCAGGUUUUUUAAGCAGUACUUGUUGCUCUUAGCAGUUAACCAGAUGGCGUCUGCAUUGUUCCGAUUAAUUGCUGCAACCGGCAGGAGCAUGGUUGUUGCUAACACAUUUGGUACAUUUGCAUUACUCGUGCUUUUCGCAUUGGGUGGAUUUGUCCUUUCACAAGGUACAUAAAAUAUAAAAGUAAACGAGCCCCAAUUAGCCUCUUUUUCAUAACUAAACUAACAUAUUUUCAUUUCUUUGUUUCAUAAUGCAGAGGACAUCAAAAAAUGGUGGAAAUGGGCUUACUGGUGUUCUCCAAUGUCAUACGCACAGAAUGCAAUAGUGGCAAAUGAAUUUCUUGGGUACAGUUGGAAAAAGGUACGUCUUUGAAUGAGCCUUGCCCAAAAUUGUGUAAUUGUCUAUUAGUAACAUACUGAUGUCUAAUUUUUUCAUGUAAUAGUUUACUCCAAACUCAUAUGAAUCAAUUGGAGUCCAAGUUUUGAAGAGUCGCGGGUUCUUUGCUCAUGCAUACUGGUAUUGGCUUGGAUUGGGGGCAUUGUUUGGUUUUAUACUACUGUUCAACCUCGGUUUCACUAUGGCUAUUACUUUUCUUAACCGUAUGCAUCUUUACCUCUUCACUUAAUACUUCAAAAGCAGUGAGUUUAUGUUCUAAUUUUGUGCAAAAAAAUAUUUACAGAAUUAGAGAAGCCUCGAGCUGUUAUAACAGAGGAAUCUGAAAGUAAUAAGCAAGAUAACAGAAUUAGAGGAACUGUUCAGUUGUCCACCCGUGGAGGUAGUUUUGUUUCAGUUAUUAAACUAUUUCCUUUGAGAAAGAAUGAGAUAUUUUUUAAAUGCCAUCUUAUGCUAAUAAAUUGUUUUAAGCGUGCAGAGAGUGGAGAAGACAUUAGCGGGAGAAACUCCUCUUCUAAGUCCUUAAUCCUGACAGAAGCACAGGGCAGUCAUCCAAAGAAAAGAGGAAUGAUUCUUCCUUUUGAACCUCAUUCCCUUACCUUUGAUGAGGUUGUAUACUCCGUUGACAUGCCACAGGUAAUAUUAAUUUUAAACUAAUUAGGCAAUAUUUAGAAAGCUCGAUGAUAUCUUGAUCCAUUUCAAUGUAGUCCAGGCAUGAUGACCAAUUGGUUCGAUUUUACAUUGUAGGAAAUGAAACUUCAAGGUGUUCUUGAAGACAAAUUAGUGCUUCUGAAUGGUUUGGGCGGUGCUUUUCGGCCAGGUGUUCUAACAGCUUUAAUGGGAGUCAGUGGUGCUGGUAAAACUACUUUGAUGGAUGUGUUGUCCGGCAGGAAAACGGGUGGAUAUAUUACUGGGAACAUAACAAUAUCUGGUUACCCGAAGAAGCAAGAAACUUUUGCUCGCAUUUCAGGAUACUGUGAGCAAAAUGACAUCCAUUCUCCUUUUGUUACUGUAUAUGAGUCCUUGCUCUACUCAGCCUGGCUCCGUUUACCACCUGAAGUUGAUUCUGAAACCAGAAAGGUAGGUACUAAAGUCACAUAGAGUGUUAGGUCAUUGAGGGCUAAAACUAGUUAACCUGAGUCAAUGGGCAGGGAAAGAGUUAGAUCCCUAAAUACAUUAUUGGACAUAAUUCAUACUGAUUUAGAGUUUUCCCCUUGAUUUACAGAUGUUUAUUGAGGAAGUCAUGGAGCUUGUGGAGCUGAAACCACUGAUACAAUCAUUUUAGAGUUUUCCCCUUGAUUUACAGAUGUUUAUUGAGGAAGUCAUGGAGCUUGUGGAGCUGAAACCACUGAUACAAUCAUUGGUUGGUUUGCCUGGUGUAAGUGGUCUGUCAACAGAGCAGCGUAAGAGGCUUACCAUUGCGGUUGAGCUAGUGGCUAACCCGUCCAUCAUAUUUAUGGAUGAGCCAACCUCAGGGCUAGAUGCAAGGGCGGCUGCAAUUGUUAUGAGAACUGUUAGAAAUACAGUGGACACUGGAAGGACAGUAGUGUGCACCAUUCAUCAACCAGGCAUUGACAUAUUUGAUGCUUUUGAUGAGGUAAAAAAUGUUAAUUCUUGAUCAAGGUAACGUAAAGUUCCUUUUUUUUUCUCCCCUUUUUUUCUAUGGAUUACAAUUGUUCAACAAUGCAUUGCAGUUAUUCCUAAUGAAGCGAGGGGGACAAGAAAUUUAUGUUGGGCCAUUGGGUCGCCAUUCUUGCCAACUUAUCAGCUAUUUUGAAGUAUGUGCCGAUGCACGUUAUCAUAUUACAAUGGAAAUCCAACUUGAGUAUCAUUUUGAAGUGACUUGCAUAAUUUUCAUCUUGAAACUAUCUGAUGCAUGUUUAUUCGUUUUUAUAAGGCUAUUCCUGGAGUUGAGAAAAUUAAAGAUGGUUACAAUCCGGCCACUUGGAUGUUGGAAGUAACUGCUUCAUCCCAAGAGGUAGCUUUGGGAGUUGAUUUUAAUGAUAUUUUCAGAUGCUCAGAAUUAUACAGGUACAUUCAUGAAGUACUAACACUACUAACUGCAAUCCAUUCACCUCUCUGCCAAUGCAUUUGUUUAGUUCAAAAUUUUGAAUUGGCAAUGUGUCUCAGGAGAAACAAAGCACUUAUUGAAGAAUUAAGCAAGCCUACUCCAGGUUCAAAGGACCUCUAUUUUCCUACCCAGUACUCGCAGUCAGCUUUCACUCAAUUCGUGGCUUGCUUAUGGAAACAACACUGGUCAUACUGGCGAAAUCCACAAUACACUGCUGUUAGAUUCUUUUUUACAGCCUUUAUAGCAGUGUUGCUUGGGUCAUUGUUUUGGGACAUGGGCUCUAAAACGUUAGUUACAGCCUUGGAAACUGGAACAUUAUAAAUUUAAAUAUUAUUCUUAGUCUUGUUUUCUCAUCUGCCUUUUAAUAUUAAUUUUCACUUUUUAAUUUAUAGGAGAAAGAGCCAAGAUCUGUUUAAUGCAAUGGGCUCCAUGUUUACUGCAAUUAUCUUCCUCGGCCUUCAAUAUUGUUCAUCCGUGCAGCCAGUAGUAUCUGUUGAAAGGACAGUCUUUUACAGAGAAAAAGCCGCUGGCAUGUACGCGGGCCUUCCGUGGGCAUUAGCACAAGUAAUCGUUUGACACAUGCCUAUCUGAAAUGUUAUAAGAAAUGUGUUUCAUUACUGAUAUUUAGAUUUUUCUUUUUGGCAGGCCAUGAUUGAGAUUCCUUAUAUAUUUGUUCAGUCAGUAGUGUACUGUGUUAUAGUCUAUGCUAUGAUGGGAUAUGACUGGACAGCCGAGAAGUUCUCUUGGUAUUUUUUCUUCAUGUACAUCACAUUAUUGCUCUUCACCUUCUAUGGCAUGUUGACAGUGGCUAUAACACCAAACCACCACAUUGCUGCCAUUGUUUCGACUUUAUUUUACGGGAUAUGGUACCUCUUUUGCGGAUUUGUAAUCCCAAGACCUGUAAGUACUAUUCUGCUAUUUCUAUUUCUAUUUCAUAUGCUAGAUUCUCUAGUUACAGAAUUUCUGUUACCGAUUCUUUCCUCAUCUUUCACCUUUUUCAAACCGCAGAGGAUUCCUGUAUGGUGGAGAUGGUACUAUUGGGCAAACCCUAUAGCUUGGACCCUGUAUGGAUUGAUUGCUUCACAGUUUGGGGAUGUGGAGGACCAAAUGGAAAAUGGUGAAACAGUGAAGCACUUUCUUAGAGAUUAUUUUGGUUUCAAACAUGAUUUGCUGGGAGUAGUUGCGGGUGUUCUUACGUGCUUUGUAGCCCUCUUUGGUUUUGUCUUCGCCCUAGGAAUCAAGCAGCUUAAUUUCCAGAGGCGAUAGAAAUUUAAUAGCAUCUUGAAGAUCAAGUUUGUGAUUUAGGACUUGGUAAAAGGCUUGCGGGCAAGCCUGUUUUAAGGAGUGGGGAAUAAUAUUAGGACUCUUGUAGUUUAUUUUAAUUUCUUUUCUAUUAAGAUUAGAUUUUCUUAUUGCAGUUAUAAUUAAGGGUACUAACUAAAUUAGAACUAAGAUUGUAUCGAACUACUAUAAAUAAGUAAUAAAAUUAAUUCUAACCCCAGUUAGUUUUUCUCUCUCCCCUCUAAAUAGCUUGUGUAUAUUUUCUCACACCUAUGCCAAGACAUUUUUCUUGCUGUUAUUAUAGUGGUUUUGAUUUCAAUGCAAGAAAUAAUACUGUUAAUGUCCCCCCAAGUGUGAAUCCAUAUGAAAGUUGAGUCAUGUUGCAUGAGAUACAAGAUGGAACUUGUUUAAGUUUUGAUAUGGGACACAGCUUAUGCUUUUCUUUUCUGCAUCUUAUCAUAUCUCUCUUUUUGUCUUCCUUUUUGUGGUUAAUUUUUAGGUGCUAGCUAUAUCAUACUUCUAGAAUAUGCAUAAUUGAAUAUUUGAAAUAAAGACAAAUGCGGAAAAGGGGAGAAAUGAAUAUAAUAAUAACAUUCAAAGCAAAUGUGUUGGGGUCAUUAAAGCAUACCAAAAGGUCACUACUUUUAGGCUUUAGCCCCAAUUUACUGCAAGAAGUUGGGACUUUGUAGUUUGGAAAAUCACAAUAUUGCUUUUUGAUCCAACUGUGUCUGAAUUAUCUCAGCUUUUCAUUUCUUUGAUUAAAAAAACAAAGUUUUUUUUUUUCCUACUGUAUUUGAAUUAUUCAUCUCUUUGAUUAAAAAACAAAAUAAGUGAAACAAAACGGUUUGACAUUUAAGCGCAGAACUGUUUCUGCAUUUUGUCUCUCUCUCCCUCUCCUUCAACUUUGUUGUGAGAAAAGGCUGUGGUUCAAUGAUUAGGGUGAUGAAUUUUUGUGUUAGGAAAAAUUCAAAUAACACAAAAUGGGAUGAGAAUUUCCAAACGCAAGGUAGGUGAAGGCACAGAAAGUUCAACUUUGUAACACACCUUCAUUUAAAAUGUGAGACUUAACCUAGUUGUCUGCAAAAGCACCUUAUGAAUUUAAAAGAUGGGGAAUUUUCAAAUCAGCAGCCAAAUAAAUUAACUUACUUUCAAUUUACCGAAAUGUUAACACAAUCCCAUUUAUUAUUAAGAAUACCAAAAAAUAAUAAUAAAAUAAAAAUAGAUCUUUAAGACGCCCCUCUUUAUCCUAGUCUUUUAAAUAAGAGCGUUGAUAUUUUCAAUAAGUUUAGACUUGAAUUGAUAGUUUCAAUAGGUUAAGAUUUAAUCUGAAGGGAAUGGGAUAAACUAAAAUUUACUCUCUAAAAGAUCUAUACGUACCGUUAAUGAAGAAAACAUGUAUAUUUUAUUAUAGAAAGCAUUUUUAUCAUCCAUAAGAUGGAGGGUUUGAGUUUUCUUAUAAUUAUGGGAGUAAGUGCAUGGUUGGUAUAGCUUUCAAAUGGUCAAUCCCAUAAGUUUUCUUUUUGUUAAUUUUUAAUGUUGCUUGCUUGUAUUUUGAGUAUAGCUUUUGGAGGUUAAAUAAACUAUUUUAUCUUAUAUUAGUAAAAGCUCAAAUUUUACAAUUUUAAGAGUAAAGAUUGGAUUUUUUUUUGAAUUGUCUAAAAUAUCCUUUUCUUGUCUCACAAUUUUAUUUCAUUUUUUUUUCAUAACAUAACUAUAAGAAACUUACUUUCAAAAUAAUUUUAUAAUUUUUAAUAAAAAUUUCCAUUGAUAAUCAAUAUAACUAAUUUUUUUAAAAUCUCUAUUUAUAAACAAGGUUGGACAUCAGAUUGGAUUUGGACAGAUCCAAUCUAAUCUAUACAAAUUCAUACCAAAUUCAGAUUUGGUUUCAAAUACGAUCGGAUAUAAUUUGUGUAUGUAAUUGGAUUAGAUGUGGAUCAGAUCUAAUUCGAGUCAAUUCGAAUAAUCCAAAUUGGAUUGCACUGCUACUUAAAAAAGAAAAAAAAAACAAAAUAUAAAAGCAGAAACUAAGAAAAUGAAAACCUAAUUCCAAAAUCACCAAGAUACAAGGUAGCCGCAACCCAUGACCACAAACCACACUCAUGACGUGACGCACACAGCGACCCACGCCACCAACAGUAUAAACCAAAUGAACCCCGCUACAUCUGGAUCGACGUCCAGCCACCAUGGCGUCCCCCAGACCCACUAUGUCGAAGAUAGUCAAGACACAAUGGGAAAAUCCAGCCCAGCUCUCUUCCAAUGAGAUUAUCAAUAACCAAAAGAAGAGACUGACAAUGAUUGAUGUCACCGCCUAUACUAUUGUAGAUUUCAUGAUUUUUUUGUGAAAAUUGUCUAAAAGGUCCCAAAUCUAAUUUCAAUCCAAACCGAUCUAAAUUUGAACUUAUUCGAAAUAUUCAUCUCAUUCGAAUUUGAUCUGAGCUAAUUCGGAUCGAACUGAAUUAAAUAUAAGGUUUCGAUUGAGAUCGAAUGAAUUUUUUCUCAAUCUAAAUUAUCCGAAAUCUGAUUGAAUAUCUUAUCCGAAUCCGAAAUUGUCCAACCCUAUUUGUAAAAGCUCUAUUAAAAUAAAUUUUACUUGAAAAGUUAUUUCAAACGAAUUAAAAAAUAAAUGCUUAUAUAGUAAUAAGAUAUCAAAUUUCUUCUCCUCCAUUUUCUCAUUCUUUUCUUUUGACUUUAAACAUGAAAAUAAAGAAAAUAAAAUCAUCGACAUUUUGAGCGGAUCUAAUAUAUAUAUAUAUAUAUAUUUUUUCCCCUUCCCUUCCUACUAAUGUUGAACGUGAAUUUUAUAUUUGCGGUUGUUUACCAGACCCACAAUUUAAUAUUUUCUUGAAUUUUUUUUCAAAUUGGAUUUUUUAUUUGUGAAAAUAUUAAACAUUAUACAGAUGGCGACAGAGGGCUUACCGAAUUAAAAAAUAGAGAGAAAGAACAAGAAAAGAACAUCGUUUUGCUGCUGUUUCUAUCAAUUCAGGGACCUACUGUCAUCGUAUUGUGCAAGUUGUUUAGCGUUGCUCUUAAUUUAUUUAAUGUGUAAGUUGAACCUUAUUCAUUAGUCACUGCAUGCAUUUUGAUUUUUCCAAGUUUCCAAAUUUAAGUUUUAUUAUAUAUAGGUAACUGUUCCAAUCCGGGAGUCCCGGAUUGGAACAGUUUCCGGGACAAAAAUUAGUGGCUUUUGGAUUUCAAUCCAAAGGCCACUAGUAGCUGCACAUGGUGGAAUCCAAAGGCCACCGGUGGCUGCACAUGGUGGGGUCCACCAUGUGCAGCCCACAAAUUAAAAAAAAAAAAAAAAAAAAAUUAAAAAAAAAAAAAAAAAAAAAAGAAGCCACCAGCGGCCGUUGGAUUGAAUGGCCCUGCUGGAUUUCCGAAUCCCGGAUUGGAUCACUGUCCUAUAUGUAUAUAAUUUUAAUUGGGUGAGGUAAUCAUGAGAAGUUUGAUUCAAAACAUAAAGGGGUGUGCAAAAUGAGGGUGGAUAAAAUUUUAGUGUUUAAAUAUAUACACAUAUGUAAUACAAGUAUUGGUUUAUUUUAGCAAAAUGUACAUGCUUUUAAAAUUGUCAUAUUUUUAUUAACUUUUUUAUCAUACAUGUUUUUUAAUUAAUCAUGAUAGUAUUCAUACACACGUGGUAAAAGGUAAAUGAAAAUAAUGUAAAUGCUCUUACAUUAUCCGCGACUCUCUCAAUCAUAAUCUUAAAAGUCAAACUAUUUAAACUACAUAAAAAAAUAAUCGAUUUAAUCCAUUUAUUCUAUGCACACAUUAACAAAAUUUAAAAAUUAAAAUCUCAUUUUACAAAGCUCUCAUAAUUUUCAAAUUAACCAUGAUCACAUUUUCAUUCUCCUACUUUUUGUUUCCUUUCUAACCCAUGAAAUUUUCUUGUGCAAUAUUCAAACCUUAUUCUAAUUCUUUUUCUAUCUGGCUUCACUGUCAAAAUUUUCUUCAUAGCGAAGAGACAUCAAAUUUGUCUUAACAUUUUUACCUUUUUCUUUGAUGUUGACUUUAAACUUGAAGAUAAAGAAAAUAAAAACACUUGACUUUAGAAUUGGCAUUUUUCAUUCUUUUGAUUGACCAUGCGCCUCCGUUGAACGAUCAAAUGGGUGCUACAACUUGCGAUAUCCUCAUUUUCUAUUUAUAAAUGUUCAAAUGAUAAUUAUAUCCUUGAAAAAAUAAUUAUACACAUCUUAAAUUUUUAAGAAGGGAUAUUAAGACCUCUAUUUAACUAAAAUACCUUUUGGUUUUAUAAACUCGAAAAAAUUAACUCUAAUAUUUUGUAAUAGAUAAAAAUAUAAUAUUAAAAUAAAUGUAAUAAUAUAUACAUUUUAAAAAAUACACCUAGUAGCUGCUGUACCNNNNNNNNNNNNNNNNNNNNNNNNNNNNNNNNNNNNNNNNNNNNNNNNNNNNNNNNNNNNNNNNNNNNNNNNNNNUUUAAAGCUAACUAUUUUAGCUGCUCUAUUUAAAUGGUACUACAAUAAAAAAAUGAUCCUAAUAUUCUUCUUCACUAAAAAAUGUGUUAGUUUGUUUGACUAUUCUCCGAGACAUUAGGGUAUGGUAAAUCUUUUUCUUUUUAUAAAUCAACAUUUUAAAAUAAUAAUGUAUUAAAUUAUAAUAUAUUAUUUCCCCAUCAAAAAGAAUUUUAACUAUUAAAAUUAAUAUUUUAUCGAAACUUUCAAGAGUUUUUAAUUUGGCCGGUCAUCCGAGUAGCUUUGGAAGGAAUUUAAUUUAAUUGGUCUUGCGUUUGAAUCAGGAGUAAGAGGCUUUGUCCACCGAACCGAUCUUUUUUUUUUCUUUUUUCGUUUAAAGUAAAAUAUUAAAAAAAAAAGUUUAUGUAAUGCUUCCAAAACUUAAAAAUAAAUGGAAAAAAAAUUAGAACUGAAAUUCACUUCCGAAACACAAAAAUCCAUCAGAAUAACGAAGGAUAGUGAGGGAAUUGGGUAAUGUGAUGACUAACAAGAAGCCUUUUAAAUCAAAAUUAUCCGCUAUUUUUCUCAAUACGGCGGCGGCGGAGAAGCUCAGCCUUAUGCUGUGCCGGGACGACGAGAUUUUUUUCCCUUAAUUAAUUAAUUAAAAUGAAGAAGCUUCACAAAAGAUUUGAUGCAUUUUUUAGUUCAUUUUUUUUUUAAUAAUUGAGCAAGAUGGACGGUCGUGAUGGAGGGAAUGACCAUACGGACUUGCUGACGGUCAAGAGAAGCUCACGUUCACUGAGACGGAAAAUGAAUGCUUCUGCCUUUGGUAUAUUAUAAUUCCCAUCUCUUUUGUCUAAGAUUUUGUGUGUGUGUGUGUGUGUUUUUUUUUUUAAUUUAAAUAUAUUAACACGAAUUUUUUGUCUAAGAUUAUGUCCUUUUAACUUAUGUUUAACGUUAAAUAAUUUUUUUAUAAUUUUAUAAUGUCGACCAACGAAAAUCAGGAAAGGCAUGAGCUAAUUAAUUUAGUAUUGGAUCUUUUUACUUGAAUACAGUCUUGAAAACAGUCUUGAAAAUGCCUUUUUAAUAAUUAAAUUAUUAAAUUCUUGGUUGCCUCUACAAUUAAUUUAAUAAUUAAAUUUUUCGUUUUAUUUUUAUUUUUUUUUAAAAAGUAAUUAAUGCGGGGAAAUGGCAGUAACAGAGUACGUCACUAAUUCGCUAUACGAUCCGGAUCCGGAUCCGGUGAUUGUGGUCCCCACCUCCCAUGUUUGAGGGGUCUUAAUUGGAAAAUUAAAUUGAAGGGUUAAAGUAAUCUUCAUUUCAAAAUUGGCGUGCUUUGACUUUCUCCACGUCAAGCGUUGAUUGUUGUUUGUGUCCAGCCAUUUGUCUCAGUCAGUUGUCUUGUGGGUAAUGUCCAAGUACGUGACAUUAGUGUUACUUAUUCUAAAAGGCCAAAACUACGUUGCCACACGGGUUUCGUACCCCACUUUUUUGUCUUUUUCUAAGUCAAUUACAGUGAAAUCCAUUUAUUUGUUAAAAAAUUUAAAAAAACUAAAGACUUUUAUUUUUUCACACAUUAGUCCUACACCUAAAAAUUUUCAGGUUCUGUGAUACUUCUAGAAGUCAUAAUCUAUUUUAGAAACACCUUUCGAUUUGAAGAUGCCAAACAUGAACACAAUACUCCGACAUCGCAGACUUGUGCAAUUUGGACAAUAUAAGUUUUUUUUUUUUUUUGUAUUGCAAUAUAUGUAGAGAAGAGAAUGCAUAAUUUGCCAGAAUAAGAAAUCCAUUUCACUACCAAACUAAAAACUAAAAAAAUAAAAAAAUUAGUCAUGGGCUCAUGGCCAUGGUCCUAUUUUCCAACACUUAGCCAUUCAGAUAUAUAUAUAUAUAUAUAUGAGUGGUAAAUUUGAUACAAUUAUUAUUUAAUUGGUCAUAUCCUUGUCAAUUAGGGAUGUGUGCUAAUGGCUAUUUAAAAUAUUGGGGUGAAAUAACAAAAGUCAAUUUAUUUAAGUGUGCAAUUAAAUUUAGUCUUUUUAUUUAAGAACAAAAACUCAACCAAAAAUACAAAAUUCUUGUUCAAAUGAGCAAAAAUGAUUUUAUGAAUUGAUAAACUAACACUUUAUUAUCAUUAGUAAAUUAAUAAAUUUUUUCUACAUAAUCAAAUAAUUGAUAGUAUGCUAAAUAAAUAUUAUAUUACAAUAAAAUAAUAAAACAUUAAUUAUAUAUAAUAUAAAAUUAAAUCAAUUUUCAUAUUUUGUAUAUUUUAUCUAUUUGAGAUAGUAAAAUCUCUUGUGUUAGAGAAAAAAAAAAAAAAAAGGGUAUGAUGUGCAUCAAUUAUACAUUUCAUUUACACAUCGAUAACGUUGUUAUCAAUAAUAAAAAAUUUAUCAUAAACUAAUUCUAUCAUAACAAGAUUAUGUGUGGUUGCUAUUUAUUAAAUCUUAUCGUUUCGUAUUUAAACGGUGCAUUUAUCAAUGUAACAAUAGUUAGUCAAGGCACGAGUUUCGUAUUCCAAUUCUAUCCCCAUUCUAGAAUUGAACCAGUCCUAGUCAUUAGUCAAAGUCUGUUGAGUAACCUUGUGAUGUUGUAUCGAGUCUUGAUUACUUUUCUUGCAGCAUGGCAAGGAAAUUUUUUCACACCAAUUAAUAAAAUCAGUCGGCCGUUUCCCCGUCAAUUCAUAACAAGUUAAAUAGGUAAACAAUGUGACUGGGUACCAGCUGCUCGGAAAUUUCUAAAGAAAUUUUUUUUUUAAAACUCUUUAUUCUGCUGCCAAAAGUCUACGGUCAAGAAUCCAUCACUUUCCUCAACUGCCCGACAUUAGAUAGCAAUGAAUAUAGACCCAUUAGGUGGCUGGAGCCCGUUAGCUUAAGAAAAUUAAAUUUCAUGAUUUUUUUUUUCUUUUAGUUAAGAAUAAAGUUUUCAAAUAUCUUCCUAAACAAGAGAACGUAUGAAACUCAAUAUGAAAAGAGUAAUUUAUCAUUGAAAUUAGAGUUAGAUAUUUAUUAUUUAAUACAUUUUUUUUUUGUUUUAUUCCUUGACAUGCACCAACAAUUUACAUAAACUUAUACACUAAAUUUAAAAUUUAGCUCGGCCUAAUGAAAGAUCCGGAGCCUACCCCUGGAAUAUUGAUAUUUAUAGUAGAAAAAAAAGUCUAUGCCCCGAUCAUUUUAUAUUGCUACAACGACUUGUUCACGGAGGGUAGAUGAGGGAAAUGAUUAUUUGAGCCGCCGGUGCCAUAUACCAGUCAAUUUAUGCUGUUGUAUGCAAGAUAUAAAUAAAUGGUUACGUGGGUCACUAAUGGAUCAAGUCAUAGUAGGAGCAAUUGCUCUGUCAAAUUAAUUAGUACCCAUUUCUCCGUGCUUGAACUUCUCUUUGUUGAGUUCAACAAUAGAGAGAAAAAAGCACUCCUCGGUUUUGGUUGGUUUCAGCAGCUCUGAGCAUCUUGAGUUGCCAUGGAGGGCACCCACGAUAUUUUCAUGGCUAGUACUAGCUUGCGUCGGAGCGCUUCUAGAUGGAACACAAAUUCCAUCGGUGCAUUUUCGAGGUCUUCCAGGGAAGAAGACGAUGAGGAGGCUCUAAAAUGGGCUGCUCUCGAGAAAUUGCCUACCUAUAACCGUUUGAGGAAGGGGAUAUUAACUACCUCACGAGGUGAAGCUAAUGAAGUUGAUGUUUACAACCUUGGGCUGCAAGAAAGGCAGAGGUUGAUUGAUAAAUUGGUUAAAGUUACUGAUGUUGAUAACGAGAGGUUCUUGUUGAAGCUCAAGAACCGUAUUGAUAGGUAAAAAACUUUCAGUUCUUCAGCAGCUGUAACUGAUAUUCAUAUAACUAUUUCAUGCUGUCAGUAAUGUUCUGUUUCCACCUUAAACAAAUAGAAAAGUUACAUAAUCCGUAAGCUAAUCUUGAAUUGCCUUUGUUUUAAACAAAUAUUAAGUUUGAAUUGAUUUCUCUCAUAUUGGAUUGUAAAGGAGCAAUCUACAGUUUUAUGGACUAAUCUUUUGGAUAAAAACUCGGUGUCAGAGCAGACCUUUUUCGAGAGAGUGUGUGUGUGUUUGUCAGAGUUCUUUUUUUUCAUGUGUAUGUUGUGUCCACCAUUUUUUUUUUUUCAAGAGCGUGUUGUAUUUUGGUCAUGAUUCUGAUUUUUUUCUUUGAUUUUUGGCAGAGUUGGAAUAGACCUUCCAAAAGUCGAAGUACGAUAUGAACAUUUGAAUGUUGAAGCAGAAGCAUUUUUAGCAAGUAAUGCCUUGCCAUCGUUCAUUAAAUUCUAUACCAACAUCUUUGAGGUACCAAUCUUCAAAUGCAAAAAUUAUUAUUUUUUUAAUCAUCUUUUGUUAAUUUCUCAGCUCAAAUUCAAAUAAUCUGUAUUUGUUUGCAGGAUCUCUUGAACUAUCUCCGCAUUAUUCCAAGUAAAAAGAGACACUUGACAAUCCUGAAGGAUGUCAGUGGAGUCAUAAAGCCGGGAAGGUGAAAAUUAAAUACCUAUUGUUUCUUAAUUUACUUGUUUUUCUAUGAAUAUGUUGGUAGUGAUCACAAAUUGAGCCCAUCUCUUUUCUCGCAGAUUGACAUUGCUUCUGGGUCCCCCAAGUUCUGGAAAGACCACACUAUUGUUGGCUUUGGCCGGGAAGCUUGAUCCUACUCUGAAGGUGAUUAUAUAGUUAAAAGCUCUAAUUAUUUAGGAGGGGUUUGGCUUUUACCUUUGCUUUUCGAUCUUUGAUUUUCUCCCUAAUUUGAGAAUCAAAACAUCUCUCUGUAGGUUUCUGGUAGGGUUGCAUACAACGGUCACGAUAUGGAUGAAUUUGUGCCUCAGAGAACAGCUGCUUAUAUCAGUCAACACGAUAAUCAUAUAGGUGAAAUGACUGUGAGAGAAACUUUGGCCUUCUCUGCUAGAUGCCAGGGGGUUGGAACCCGUUAUGGUAGGUGUAUAUAUAUAUAUAUUUUUUUUUAAUUUCUUCCUUCAAGUAAAGAACUCAGAUUAAAGGUUUCUGCCUUUUGGGAAGUGCAGAAAUGUUAACUGAGUUGGCAAGAAGAGAGAAGGCAGCAGGUAUUAAGCCUGAUCCGGAUAUUGAUGUCUACAUGAAGGUGAGAGAAGCUGAAGUUUGUUUAAACUUUAAAACAUGUUUAGCAUUUAGCCAAUUUGAUUCCAGAAAAGAGAAAAAAAAAAAUCAUUGGAUGUAAAAUCUGAUGAAUUAUGAGUUUCAGUUUUAAGCCUGGCUUCACUCAAGUGCUCCUAUGUCUCAAAAUCCUAGUACAUGAACUUUGAGAUUCAAUUCUUUAUAUCAUUUUGUUGAAUUACAUAUAUUUUAAGCUUGGCAUUUUACCUUUCACCUCACGAGAAAAUAGAUUUAGAUCGGAAACAACCUUAUGGAGAUUGAUUUGAACUCUUGGUGAUUGAGUUUCUUGUAUUUCUCUGUCAAUUCUCGUCUCAGGCUAUAGCAACUGAAGGCCAAGAAGCCAAUGUGAUCACUGAUUAUUAUCUUAAGGUAACAUAUUUAUGAAUCACUCUAAAAUUGCGAAUUAUGAUCAAGAACAAGUAAAUAAUGUCACGUGUUUGAAUGCUUCUCCUUAUGAACAUAUAGGUUCUGGGACUGGAUGUCUGUGCAGACACCAUGGUAGGUGAUGAAAUGAUAAGAGGUAUAUCAGGAGGACAGAAGAAGCGUGUUACGACUGGUAAAUACCAAACUCCAUAAAUUCAUUUUGAUUGUGGUCAGAUACAAAACAGUUAUCUCUUUUCAUUCAAACAUAUGAUAAAUCGUAAAUUAAAUUAUAGGUGAAAUGAUGGUUGGACCAGCAUUGGCACUAUUUAUGGAUGAGAUUUCUACUGGUUUGGACAGCUCGACAACUUUCCAAAUUGUUAAUUGUCUCAGGCAAAAUAUUCACAUCAAUAGUGGAACUGCUGUGAUAUCUCUCCUACAGCCAGCACCAGAAACUUAUGAUCUAUUUGAUGACAUUAUCCUUCUAUCCGAUGGCCAGAUUGUAUACCAGGGUCCUCGCGAACUGGUACUAGAGUUUUUUGCAUCCAUGGGCUUUAGAUGCCCCAAAAGGAAAGGCGUGGCUGACUUCUUGCAAGAAGUAUGCGGUGAUAGAGCUCUAUAUUUGAUGUUUCAGUUUCUAAAUAUUUAUAGAUAAUACAGAAGCUUAUAACAUUCUAAAACUAUAACGAGCCUCACACAUUACUAUUUCUAUUCAAUCUUUACAAAUAAUGUGUUCCAGGUAACAUCAAGGAAAGAUCAAAGGCAGUAUUGGGCACAUAAAGAGAAGCCUUACAGGUUUGUUACAGUCCAGGAAUUUGCUGAGGCAUUCCAAUCAUUCCAUGUGGGACAGAAAAUUUCUGAUGAGCUUCGGACUCCAUUUGAUAAGAGCAAGAGCCAUCGAGCUGCUUUGACCACAGAAACAUAUGGUGUUGGCAAGAGAGAGUUGUUGAAAGCUAACAUCUCAAGAGAACUUUUGCUGAUGAAGAGGAACUCAUUUGUCUACAUCUUCAAACUCAUUCAAGUGAGUACCAACAUAGUUUUGAAUUGUUUUAAUUGUUGCUUCAUGUGAUAACUAUUUAUUGAUUGGUUUUUCCCCCUGGCUUUAGAUUGCAUUUGUUGCAGUGGUCUACAUGACACUCUUCUUGAGAACAAAAAUGCACAAAGAUACAGUAACUGAUGGUGGAAUUUUUGCUGGUGCCACGUUCUUCGCCAUCACAAUGGUCAAUUUCAAUGGAUUUUCGGAGAUUUCUAUGACCAUAGCAAAGCUUCCUGUCUUCUACAAGCAAAGAGACUUCCGGUUCUUUCCUCCGUGGGCAUAUGCUAUUCCCUCAUGGAUUCUAAAGAUCCCUGUCUCGUUCCUGGAGGUUGCUGUUUGGGUUUUCCUAUCAUAUUAUGUUGUUGGGUAUGAUUCCAAUGCUGGAAGGUAAUCACAGAGAAAAUGAACCAAAUUUUUUAGUAACCAGUAAAGUUUUAGUUCCAUGAUCUCUUUAUCAAGGUAGUUUAUGUGAUGGUUUUCAUGUUGCAGGUUUUUUAAGCAGUACGCGCUGCUCUUGGGUGUUAACCAGAUGGCUUCUGCAUUGUUCCGAUUCAUUGCAGUAACCGGCAGAAACAUGGUUGUUGCUAACACAUUUGGUUCAUUUGCAUUACUUGUACUUUUGUCAUUGGGUGGAUUUAUCCUUUCGCGAGGUACAGAAAAUAUGCAAGUAAACCAGAUUAAAUUAGCUUCCUUAGAAAAAUUUAUCUUUAAUACUUCCAUUUCAUUUUUUCAUAAUGCAGAGGACAUAAAAAAAUGGUGGAAAUGGGCUUACUGGUGUUCUCCUUUGACAUACGCACAGAAUGCAAUAGUGGCAAAUGAAUUUUUGGGGCAUAGUUGGAAAAAGGUAAUUCUUGAUCUUUUUCCUUGAUUGUGUAUUUAGCUGUUAGUAACAUUACUGAUGCUGGUAACUUUUUCAUAUCACAGUUUACUCAAGACUCAAGUGAAACGCUUGGGGUGCAAGUUUUGAAGUCCCGUGGGUUCUUCGCACAUGAAUAUUGGUAUUGGCUUGGAUUGGGGGCUUUGUUUGGCUUCGUACUGCUUUUGAACUUCGCUUACACAUUGGCUCUUACUUUUCUUGAUCGUGGGUUGCUCCUACCUUCUUCACUUUCUUAAAUUACUUCUAUAGCAGUGAGUUUCUGUUCUAAUUUCCUCCAAAAUUUUUUUACAGCAUUUGAGAAGCCUCGGGCUGUCAUAACGGAGGAAAUUGAAAGUAAUGAGCAAGAUGAUAGAAUUGGAGGAAAUGUUCAGUUAUCAACCCUUGGAGGUAGUUCUAACCACAACACUCGCUCAGGUGAUAAAAGUAUUUUGAUAUAUUUGAGGAAAAAAAUGAGAUACUUUUGUAAAUGCCUUCUGAAGCUAAUAAAUUAUGUUUAAAAUGCAGGGAGUACAGAUGACAUUAGGGGACAACAGUCCUCUUCCCAAUCCUUAUCACUGGCAGAAGCGGAGGCCAGUCGUCCGAAGAAAAAAGGAAUGGUUCUUCCAUUUGAACCUCAUUCCCUUACCUUUGAUGAGGUUGUAUACUCUGUUGACAUGCCAGAGGUAACAUUAAUUUGAAAACCAUUUAAGAUGUUUAGAGGUUUUGUUGAUUUCUUGAUUCAAUACUAUGUAAUCGAGCAUGAUGACCAAUUGAUUUGUUUAACUUUACAGGAAAUGAAAGUUCAAGGUGUUCUUGAAGAUAAAUUAGUGCUUUUGAAUGGCGUGAGCGGUGCUUUCCGGCCAGGUGUUCUUACAGCUUUAAUGGGUGUCAGUGGCGCUGGUAAAACCACUUUGAUGGAUGUCUUGGCUGGCAGGAAAACUGGUGGAUAUAUUACUGGUAACAUAACAAUAUCUGGUUACCCGAAGAAGCAAGAAACAUUUGCUCGCAUUUCAGGAUACUGUGAGCAAAAUGACAUCCACUCUCCUUUUGUUACCAUCUAUGAGUCCUUGCUCUUUUCGGCCUGGCUCCGUUUAUCACCUGAAGUUGAUUCCAAAACCAGAAAGGUAGGCACUAAAGUCACCUAGAGUGUUAGGUCAUUAAGGGCUAAAACUAGUUAAACUGAGUCAACAGGCAGGGAAACAGUUAGAUUCCCUAAAUACAUUAUUGGACAUAAUUCAUACUGAUUUAGAGUUUUACCCUUGAUUUACAGAUGUUUAUUGACGAAGUAAUGGAGCUUGUGGAGCUGAAUCCGUUGAGACAAUCACUGGUUGGUUUGCCUGGUGUAAGUGGUCUUUCAACAGAGCAGCGUAAGAGGCUUACCAUUGCGGUUGAGCUUGUGGCUAACCCAUCCAUCAUAUUUAUGGAUGAGCCAACCUCAGGACUAGAUGCAAGAGCCGCUGCAAUUGUUAUGAGAACUGUUAGAAACACAGUGGACACUGGAAGGACGGUAGUGUGCACGAUUCAUCAACCAAGCAUUGACAUAUUUGAAGCUUUUGAUGAGGUAAGAAAUGUUAAUUCUAGAUCAAACGAGCUUUAAGCUUUUUCGUUUUUUUUCUUCCCUUUGUCUUUUCUUUUCCUCUCAUUGAUUAAUAUUGUUCAAAAAUAUGUUGCAGCUAUUCCUAAUGAAGCGAGGGGGACAAGAAAUUUAUGUCGGGCCAUUGGGUCGUCAUUCUUGCCAUCUUAUCAGCUAUUUCGAAGUAUGACCUAAUGGAUAUUCUCAUAUUACAAUUGAAAUCUAACUUGAAACAACAUUGCAAGUGACUGGUUUAUUUUAUAAUACGGAAAUAGCUGAUGAACGUACAUUUGUUUUUUCUAGGCAAUUCCCGGAGUACAAAAGAUUAAAGAUGGUUACAAUCCAGCAACUUGGAUGUUGGAAGUUUCAGCUGCUUCGCAAGAAUUGGCUUUGGGGAUUGAUUUUACCGAACAUUACAAGCGCUCAGAUUUAUACAGGUAUGUUAUCAUGUACCACUAGUUUACAUAACCAAAAUCCAUUCAACAGUUUGCCGGUGCAUUUGUUUAGCUAUAAAUUAAUGCUGAUGUAUGCCAUGUGUAUCAGGAGAAACAAAGCACUCAUUGAAGAUUUAAGCAGGCCUCCUCCUGGUUCAAAGGACCUCUAUUUUCCUACUCAAUUUUCGCAGUCAUCUUGGAUCCAAUUUGUGGCUUGCUUAUGGAAACAACACUGGUCAUACUGGCGAAACCCACCAUACACUGCUGUUAGAUUUUUCUUCACGGCCUUCAUAGCAUUGUUGUUUGGCUCGUUGUUUUGGGACCUGGGUGGUAGAACGUGAGUUAUAACUAGUUGUCUGGAACAGUUUUGCACUUGAAUGUUAUUCAAAGUCUCUUGUGGUUUCGUCUUCGUUUUGAUCUUUAUUUUGACUUUUUAAUUUUCAGGAAAAGGAACCAAGAUCUUUUCAAUGCAAUGGGUUCCAUGUUUACUGCAGUUCUCUUCCUUGGUGUUCAAUAUUGUUCGUCAGUGCAGCCAAUAGUAUCAGUUGAAAGGACAGUCUUUUACAGGGAAAAAGCUGCCGGCAUGUAUGCAGGCAUACCAUGGGCAUUAGCACAAGUAAUUGUUUGACACAUUUCAUAUAUUUGAAUUGUUAAAUAACCGUGUUUCAUUACUGACUUUUAAUUUUUUUCCUGCAGGUUAUGAUUGAGAUUCCUUAUAUAUUAGUUCAGUCAGUAGUGUAUGGUGCUAUAGUCUAUGCUAUGAUUGGAUUUGAAUGGACAGCCGCCAAGUUUUUUUGGUAUAUAUUCUUCAUGUACUUCACAUUAUUGUUCUUCACCUUCUAUGGCAUGAUGGCUGUGGCUUUGACACCAAACCACCACAUCGCUGCCAUUGUUUCAACUUUAUUUUAUGGAUUGUGGAACGUCUUUUCUGGGUUUAUUAUCCCAAGACCUGUAAGUCUCGUCUUCCCAUUUCUAUUUCGGAUGCUAGGUUUUUUCUUUAGGUUAAAUAAUUUUUGUUACUAAUUCUUUCCUCAUCUUUCAACUUGUCAAAAAACAGAGGAUUCCAAUAUGGUGGAGAUGGUACUAUUGGGCCAACCCCAUAGCUUGGACCUUGUAUGGACUGGUUGCUUCGCAGUUCGGAGAUAUGGACGACAAGAAAAUGGAUACUGGUGAAACGGUGAAACAGUUUCUUAAGGACUAUUUUGAUUUCAAACAUGAUUUUCUGGGAGUAGUUGCAGCCGUUCUCGUUGUCUUUGCAGCAUUAUUUGGAUUUCUCUUCGCCCUAGGAAUUAAGAUGUUUAACUUCCAGAGGCGAUAGUAAUUCUGAUAGGUACUGCUGCUGAACAUGCGAUUCAGAAGAAAAAUCGCAUCGCGGAUGCUUUGGCUAUGCUAUAAUCUUUUCAUGCAAUGUCCCGUCAGUGUAUUGUUUAUUUUGAUUUAGCAUUUUCAUUGCUGGCAUUGCAAGAUAUAUUUUGUAUACAAGAUAUGUUUUCUAUCUUUUUAGAUUAAUAAAUUUUCCCUCGCCAGUCAAGGUUAUCUAUAGCAGUUAAUAUUUUGUGCGAAGGAAAUGAUCAUGAAUCUUAGUUCCCAGACAGAUUUCAUUGAUAGGUGAGAAAAGUUCACAACGAGUGAUUCUUUUAUACAAGAGAUGGAGUAAUCAACAAGCAUAUGCGCUUGAUGUCAUCUAGCCAUAGGAUUUGUUAGUCCUAAACUCUACGGCCCCAGAUUCUUCUCAAUGUGGUGUGUACCGUGUAUCUGUGGAGACAAAUUUUGGUAACGUAUACGUUUUUCUUCAAUGACAAGUUCCCUCAGCCUUGCUCUGCAAGUCUCUUCCAGCCUUCCAGGAGAGUGGUGAAAUCACAGUACUGGGCUUGUUUGCUCCGGUUCCUGGGCCGUCUGUUGAGCGUUGGGCCAACUGGCCCAUAGACCUAACUUCUUCAAUAGAAUCAUACGUGUUGAGGAAGUAGCGUGUGAAGAUCUUCGCAAAAAAAAAAAAAGAAGUAAUAAUAAUAAUAAAAUUAAUUUUUUUUUUAAAAAAAAUCAAUGUUUAGAAAAUCAUCCUUUAAUUGACAUAAUUUUGUAAUAUUAUUAAGAGCAUUACUGUGAUUUUAGGAAGGAAGGUGGGUAAAGCUCAAAUGAUAAGCGUGAAAUUGGGUGAAAUUGUGGUUUCUAACUUUUUUUUUAAUAAUUAAAUCACGCUUUUGUUUCAUUUAAAAUAAUUGUAUUUAAUCUUUUGACAACUACCAAUCUAUUUUUUAAAACUAUAUAUUCCUUUGAACAACCUUCAAGCAGACCAGACAAGCUGCAACAAAAUUUUAGUUCUAAUUAUAAGAUAAAAUAUUAGAAAUAAAUCAUCUACAAAGUGGACAAAAUAAUAAGAAUUUUUAAUAUAACCGAACCAAUAUGAUAUCAUGGAAAAUAAUAAUAAUAAUAAUAUAACCAAUAUGAUGUCAACUUUGUUUUUAUUAUCCAAAAUGCUAUUGUUCGAACUUUUAGUGAUUAAUUAAUAUGAUAUCGACUUUAAUUUUAUUAUAUCAUAAGCCUCUGUCAUUAUAUAAAUAAAUCGUACAAGUUAAAUUGUUAUGUGGAUAAAAUUUUAAAUUAAUUCUUUAACCUUUUAUUUUUCUAAAAUUCGAAUUAGGUUAAUUAGUCAAAUCUGUAAAUUGUUUGAAAUACUCAACCAUAGGCAAAAGUCAAAGUAUAUUGCGCAGGAAAAAAAAAAACCACAAAAAUUCAUAAUGCUACCGGAAACAAAAAAAAAAAAAAAAAAACUGAAUUUUAAAUCAUUGUUCAACAAUGGAAACCGUCAAAAACGUCCAUUUCAAAAGUUUAAAUAAACUUUAAUAAACAAGAAUUUAAAAAUCAUCACCUGAGCUUAAUUACUUAAUCCGAUCACCGAGCAAGAGUUAUCUCCAAAGUCAACGUGAGCAUACUUUUCCCCCAUAGACCCGACCGCAUCGUAAAGGAAAUAAAAAAACCGAGGCCGGUUCGUUAACAAGAAAAUGGAGAAUUACAGUAAUAACUUAUAAUUUUUAGAAUACUCUGUUAACUUUUUAUAUAUCAAAAUUUUCGCAGAAAUUUUAUCCAAAUCACUAAACAACCACUGUUAUUUGUUAAAUUUUUUACUCUAACGUGUUAUUAACACAACGUUGAGUUGCUCACUCUCUUUUCAAGAAGUUUAAUACAAUCAUAGUAUGUAAAAACGUGAACAACCUUAUUAAAAUGAGCUGUUUUAAUGGAAGAAAAAUUAAAAUAAAAUAUUGUAAAAAUAUUUUAAACUAUAAUUUCAUCCAUUGCAAUAGUUUUAGGGUCAAAAGUAUGAUGUAUUCUUUAUAUGACUUAUUUUAAUUUAACUUUUUACAUGAAAACUAUAAGGUGGUAUUUGCUGAAUUGGAUUGAAGGGGAGAAGAGGCACGAAAUAAAAGUGAAGGAGAUAGAAAAUGGAGGAGAAAAAAGUGAUUUUCAAUUCCAUUGAUUGGUUUGUACAUGGAAUUCUAAUCGGAAAACGAGUUUUAUGUUUAUUUUCGUUGGGCCAAAAUGCCCUCAUAGUUAUUGUCUAAAAAAAUUAAUUUCUUUAAAUUUCAAUUGUUUUAAUAUAUAUUGAGACACUUUAGAGAUAAAGAGAUGACAGUUGAAAGAACGAGGACAGAAUGAAUUAUAAAGUUGUGUAGUGUUGUAAUGUUAAUUGAUUAUUUUGUUCUUUUUUUUUUUUUUUAACUCCCAUGUAGUUUUAAAAUCAAUUAGUUCCGUCUUCAUUCUAUUAAAAUUGGUCUAUUUAAAUAUCAAUGCUCAAAGAUUAUUGCUGCAUAGCUGUCGUGUGACAAAGCAUAUAUAUGAACUAAGAUUAUAAAAAAAAUUUAUACAGUACAUGCUAUUAAUACAGUACAUGCAUGACAGAAAAUUAUUAAAAAGAUAAGCAUUAAGAUUAUCACCGUUGGAUCCAAAAUCUUGUUCAAUACAGUAAUUAAAGAAGUGGAGACUUCAAGACGACGACAGCAGAUUUGCAAGCCAGCAAGCAGGAAUAUGAAUAUCCCCCCACUCGAUCAUUUAAACAAAUUUGUUAAUCGAUCGAUGCCGGAAGACACUAACAAUGUUUAAUCUAGUAAUUUAAAAAAAAUAAAUAAAUAAAGCACCGUAAGCAUUUGAAUUAAAAAAAAAAUAUGAUCAAACGUUUGGGAUGAUUUUAUAUGAACAAUAUAAUAGCUGCCGGCAGUGACUGGUUCGUUUUUUGGUGGCAUAUAUGAGUACGUUAACGCGACUCGUCAAAGAAAGAGACAAAAGACAUUGUUAUGUAUAAUUCAAACCAAUUAAUUAACGACCAUUUGCGUGUGCUUAAAUACCUCAUUAACUCUCUUGAUCACUUGAACAAAUUAAGAAAGUAAGAAGAAAGCACUUCUGGGUUAUCAUCUCGAGUGAGUUGUAAUGGAGGGUUUAGGAGGUCGUGAUAUGAUUUACACGGCCAGCAAUAGCUUACGCAGAAGUGCUUCCAGAUGGAGGAGCAACUCUCCUGGUGCCUUUUCAGUGUCUUCAUCAAGAGAAGAAGAUGAUGAGGAAGCUCUAAUAUGGGCUGCUCUCGAGAAGUUGCCCACUUAUAAUCGUUUGAGGAAAGGGAUAUUGACUACUUCUAGAGGUGAGGCUAGUGAAAUUGAUGUUAACAAUCUUGGACUGCAAGAAAGGCAAAGGCUGGUUGAUAAAUUGGUGAAAAUCGCUGAAGUUGAUAAUGAGCAGUUCUUGUUGAAGCUUAAGAACCGUAUUGACAGGUAAGAUUUCUCUUUUUCACUGAAGCUGCUGUUGAUAAUUUUCAGUUGACUAUUUCCCUGUAGUAAAAAAUAAAUACUCAUGUACAAUGGGCGUACCAACUCGUCGUAUUUAGAUAGUGCAUCCAAUCAAUUAGAAUAUAUUAUUUCAGUACAUCUAAUGGAUCUUGCCAUUACACUAAUAAAAUUUUUAUUUUAAAUUAUGUGAACUCUUACCAUUUAAAGUGAUUGAUUGGUAAAAUUUCUCUUUUUUCUUGAUGCUACGAUUGAUACAGUUAAAAGGGUAAAAUAUUUAUGUGGGAUGAGUAUACUACUUACUAAUACUACUUACUAACAAAAUUUUAAUGGAAGGUAUGAAAAAAACUAAAAUAUCUCGACUAAAAGUAAGUUAUGCCUAGUUACUUAAUAUUUUAUUUUUUAUUAAAAUUUUAUAAUUUAAUUUUUUGUCAAAUAGUAUCAUUGAACUUUUAUUUUAAUUUCUUUGGAUGGAAAACAUCAAAUUCAUGAUAUCACUAUGGGACCCACAUAACUGAGGUGGCACACUCACCCGGUAAAAGUAUUUCUCGGUCAACGGUUUUUCAACAAUUGAUAUUCAUAUAUGAUUAUUUUAUGCCGUCAACGAUUUUUGCUCCCAUCUUAAACAAAUAGAUUUUUUUUUUAAAAAAAAAUUUAUAUUAGUUACGAUAUAUUAUUAUUUUAAUCAGAAAUCUAUCAAAACAUUUUAAUAUUCGAAAUAAACUCAGUAGCUGCACAAUCAACAUAUUAAUUCAAAUCUCGAUCAACCUGAAUCGAUUAGUUAAAUAAAUUUUCAAUAAACAUAAAUUGCGUAUGCAUGCAUGAAUUUCUGUUCACAACUGUUGAGCUAUCACUUAAACCCUGAUAAGUAGUAUUAAAGCUGCACCCUAAUAACUAGCAUAAGGGGUGGAAGUUAAAAAGGGAAAUUGAGUAAGAAAGUAAUUGAAUUCAAAUUUAUACAAAUUUUUACAUAUUCUAUAUUUGGCCCCUCAUUUUUCAAAGUUCCAUAAUCUAACUUAGUUGAGUUUAUGAUUUUUAGAUCUGUUAUGUUUCUCAAUGUCCUUUUAGUGCUACAAGAAGUUUAAGGUUUCAACUCCCUUCACGUUGUUGUUAGUGUGUGUAUUAUUUAACUUGUGAUGAUAUAAGGUUGGACCCAACAUGGAAGAAACAAAAUUUAUGGAUAACCAUUUUUGUUUGAUUUUUCAUGUCUUAAGUUGUAUUCAAGUUAUGAAACGUUUUUAAGUGUGCCGUGCGUGUUAAGUAAUGAUUUUCCAUCUUCCUUUGAUUUACCUCAGAGUUGGAAUAGACCUUCCCAAAGUGGAAGUUCGAUAUGAACAUUUGAAUAUUGAGGGAGAAGCGGUUUUAGCAAGUAAAGCCUUGCCAUCAUUCAUUAAAUUCUAUACCACCAUCUUUGAGGUAGCAAUCUUCGGACACAAAUAAUUACUUUUGUAAAAAUUUUAGUAUAUUGAGUUAAUCUCUCGGCUUUAGUUUAAUAAUCUGUACAUGUUUGAAGGAUUUCUUGAACUAUCUCCACAUUCUUCCGAGUAGAAAGAAACACUUUACAAUCCUCAAGGAUGUGAGUGGAAUCAUAAAGCCUGGCAGGUGGGAAUUUGAAUUGAUUCCUACUGUUCUUAAUUUACUUGUAAUUUGUGGGUUCUUUAAUUAUCUGAAAUUUGUGCAGAAUGACAUUGCUUUUGGGUCCUCCAGCUUCUGGAAAGACCACAUUUUUGUUGGCUUUGGCCGGGAAACUUGAUUCUAGUCUCAAGGUGCUGAGUUUAACUUUUGUGAAAAUUAAGCUCUUGGAUUGGAUGGGUUUGGCUUUUAGCAUUGUAAAGUUCACACUUUGGUUUUAUCUCUGAUUGGAGAAUCAAAAUGUCUCUCUAUAGGUAUCUGGUAGUGUGACAUACAACGGGCACAACAUGGAUGAGUUUGUGCCUCAGAGAACAGCUGCUUAUAUCAGUCAACAUGAUAACCAUAUAGGCGAAAUGACUGUGAGGGAAACCUUGGCCUUCUCUGCUAGAUGCCAGGGGGUUGGAACCCGAUAUGGUAGGUUUUAUAUAGAGAAUUCAGAUUACAGUAUGGUGACUUACUAAAUGUAAUAUUAGCAUAAAGAUCAUUGCUUCUGGGAAAUGCAGACAUGUUAAUGGAGUUAGCCAGAAGAGAGAAGGCAGCAGGUAUUAAGCCAGAUCCCGACAUUGAUGUCUACAUGAAGGUGAGAAAAGUUGGCUGAAGUUUGUUUAGAACAUGUUUAGCAUUUAACCAUUUGAUGAUAGAUGGUUUCAAUUUUAACCUUUCAUUCGGUCUGAUGUUCUUGUGGCUUAAGAAUCCUAGUAUACGCAUCGUUUUCUUAAAUUGAAAUUUACCUUACGGACUUAAAUUAGAUUCAACCUUAUAGAGAUGUAUUUGAACUCUUGGUGAUUGAGUUUCUCAUAUUUCAUUUUUAAUUUCUCAUGUCUCAGGCAGUAGCGACUGAAGGCCAAGAAGCCAAUGUGAUCACUGAUUAUUACCUAAAGGUAACAUAACUAUAACUCACUCUAAAAUUGCAAAUUAUUCUCAAUAACAAGUAACUACUCACACUUGUUUGAACACUUUUCAUCACAAAUAUAUAGGUUCUGGGACUGGAUAACUGUGCUGAUAUCUUGGUAGGUGAUGAAAUGAUAAGAGGUAUAUCCGGUGGACAAAAGAAACGUGUGACCACAGGUAUAAGACAAACUCCAUAAAUUCAUUCCUAAUUUGCUCCAGAUAAAUGAAAAAGAUCAUCCCUUUUAUUCAAAUGUAUGAAAAUUUGUAAUUGAAAUUAUAGGUGAAAUGAUGGUUGGACCAGCGUUGGCAAUGUUUAUGGAUGAGAUUUCCACUGGUUUAGACAGCUCGACGACUUUUCAAAUUGUCAAUUGUCUCAGGCAAAAUAUUCACAUCAAUAGUGAAACUGCCGUGAUAUCUCUCCUGCAGCCAGCACCAGAGACUUAUAAUCUAUUUGAUGAUAUUAUCCUUCUAUCUGAUGGCCAGAUUGUGUACCAGGGUCCCCGUGAACUAGUGCUAGAGUUUUUUGAAUCCAUGGGCUUUAAAUGCCCCCAGAGGAAAGGAGUGGCUGACUUCUUGCAAGAAGUAUGCACAAAUAGAUUUCUGUUUUUGACAUUUUUCAUUGACAGGAAAAAAGCAAGCUCUUUGACAAUAUGAGCUUCAUUUCCUUUAUUUAUAAAUAACGCGGUAGCUUAGGUGUAACUUCUCAUAUUCAAUCUUUUCAAAUAAUAUGUUGCAGGUGACAUCAAAGAAAGAUCAACAGCAGUAUUGGGCACAUAAAGAGAUACCUUACAGGUUUAUUACAGUCCAAGAAUUUGCUGAGGCAUUCAAAUCAUUCCAUGUGGGACAAAAACUCGCUGAUGAGCUUCAAAUACCAUUUGAUAAGAGCCAAAGCCACCGAGCUGCUUUGGCUAAGAAAGUGUAUGGUGUUGGCAAGAGAGAGUUGUUGAAAGCUUGCUUCUCAAGAGAGUUUUUACUGAUGAAGAGAAACUCAUUUGUCUACAUCUUUAAGCUCGUCCAAGUGAGUAUUAACUUAGUUCUUAGUUGUUUUAGUUUUUCUUUAAGUGAUAAUGAUUGUUUCUUUUUUUCCUGGCUACUAGAUUGCAAUUACCGCAUUGGUAACUAUGACACUGUUCUUCAGAACGAAGAUGAAGAAAGAUUCAGUAGCUGAUGGAGGAGUUUACGCUGGUGUCAUGUUCUUUGCUAUUGUAAUAGUCAUGUUCAAUGGAUAUGCAGAGAUUUCUAUGACCAUAGUAAAGAUUCCUGUCUUCUACAAGCAAAGAGACCUCCGAUUCUUUCCACCGUGGGCAUAUGCUCUUCCCACAUGGAUCCUCAAGAUUCCUAUCUCAUUCAUGGAGGUUGUUGUUUGGGUAUUCGUAUCCUAUUAUGUUAUUGGGUAUGAUCCCAAUGCUGGAAGGUAAAUGAAGAUAAAAAGAACAAAAUUUGCUAGUAACCACUGAAGUUUUUGUUACAUUAUUUAUUUGUCCAACUAGUUUACGUGGUGAUUUUCUUAUUGCAGGUUUUUUAAGCAGUACUUUCUGCUCUUGGCGGUUAACCAAAUGGCUUGUGCAUUGUUCCGAUUCAUUGCAGCAACAGGCAGGAACAUGGUUGUUGCUAAUACGUUUGGGACAGUAGCAUUACUCGUGCUUUUCGCAUUGGGUGGAUUUCUCCUUUCACGAGGUACGAUAGGAAAAUGAAUUAACAACAAUAAUAUUCUCUCUUAAAGUUUAACCUGAAUCCUCAUUUUUCCUAUUAAUAUUGCAGAGGACAUAAAAAAAUGGUGGAUAUGGGGUUAUUGGUGUUCUCCUUUGAUGUAUGCACAAAAUGCAAUAGUAGCUAACGAAUUUCUUGGGCACAGUUGGAGAAAGGUAAAUCUCUGAAUGAGCCUUGUCCACGAUUAUGUACUUUUCUUUUAGUAACGUGUUGAUAUCUGUAAAUUUUUUCAUAUAAUAGUUUACGCCAGACUCAAAUGAACCACUUGGAGUGCAAGUUUUGAAGUCUCGUGGGUUUUUCCCAGAUGCAUAUUGGUAUUGGCUUGGAUUGGGGGCUCUGUUUGGUUUUGUACUACUAUUGCACAUUGCUUUUACUCUGGCCCUUACUUUUCUUAACCGUGGGUAUCUUUACCAUCUUCACUUUAAUUACUUCAAAAGUAGUGAGUUUAUGUUGUAAUCUUGUGCAACUAUUCAUGCACAGAAUUUGAUAAGCCUCAGGCUGUUAUAACUGAGGAUUCUGAGAGAAAUGAGCAAGAUACCAAAAUUAGAGGAACAGUUGAGUUAUCAACUCUUGGAAGUAGUUCUAGUCUCACAACUCGCUCAGGUGAUAAAGCUCCUUUCAAUACAUAUAAAAUGAGAUACUUUGUGAAUGCCUUCUGAUGCUAAUUAAUUAUUAAUUGUUGUUAACAUUCAGAGAGUGGAGGCGACAUUUGGGGGAGAAACUCUUCUUCUCAGUCCUUAUCCAUGACAGAGGCAGCUGGUGGUGUAAUUCAACCAAAGAAAAGAGGAAUGGUGCUUCCAUUUGAACCGCAUUCUCUUAUCUUUGAUGAAGUAACGUACUCUGUUGACAUGCCACAGGUAACUUUAAUUUUAAAACCUAUUAAUACAUUUCACAAGUACCGAUGUUAUCUUGAUUAAUCAUAAUGUAGUCCAGAAAUGAUGAAUAAUUGGUCUAAUUUAACUUUUUAGGAAAUGAAACUUCAAGGUGUUCUUGAAGACAAAUUGGUGCUUCUAAAUGGUGUCAGUGGUGCUUUCAGACCAGGCGUUCUUACAGCUUUAAUGGGUGUUAGUGGUGCUGGUAAAACAACUUUGAUGGAUGUGCUGGCUGGCAGGAAAACGGGUGGAUAUAUUACAGGGAGUAUUAAAAUAUCUGGUUACCCAAAGAAGCACGAAACAUUUGCUCGCAUUUCAGGAUACUGUGAACAAAAUGACAUCCACUCUCCUUUUGUUACAGUUCAUGAGUCUUUGGCCUUCUCGGCCUGGCUUCGUUUAGCUCCCGAAGUUGAUUCUGAAACUAGAAAGGUUUGUACUGAAUUCACCUGGAGUGUGGAUUAUUGAGAGCUUAAACAAGUUGAACUGAGUCCACUAGAAGAAGAGAAACAGCUCUAAUCCCUGAAUGCAUUACUGGAUAUUGUUACUAAUUUAUAGCUUCUCCCUUGGUUUACAGAUGUUUAUUGAGGAAAUCAUGGAGCUUGUGGAGCUGAACCCAUUGAGACAAUCACUGGUUGGUUUGCCUGGUGUAAAUGGUCUGUCAACAGAGCAGCGUAAGAGGCUUACCAUUGCGGUUGAGCUCGUGGCUAACCCGUCUAUCAUAUUUAUGGAUGAGCCAACCUCAGGGCUAGACGCGAGGGCUGCUGCAAUUGUUAUGAGAACUGUUAGAAACACAGUGGACACUGGAAGAACUGUAGUGUGCACCAUCCAUCAACCAAGCAUUGAUAUAUUUGAAUCUUUUGAUGAGGUAAUUAGAGAACUUAAUACUGGAUCAAAGGAGUCAAAACUUUAUCCUUUUAGUUUCAUCUUAUUCCCUUUCUUCAGUUUUUUUCCUGUAUGUUGAUUACAAUUGUUUAAUUAUACAUUGCAGUUAUUCUUAAUGAAGCGAGGGGGACAAGAUAUUUAUGUUGGUCCAUUGGGUCGACAUUCUUGUCAUCUUAUCCGCUAUUUUGAAGUAUGACCUGAUGAACAUUCACAUAUUACAAUGGAAAUCUAAUUUGAAAUUUAAUUUUGAAGUAGCUUGCAUAAUUUACAUCAGGAAACUCGCUGAUGUUUCUGUAUUUGUUUUCAUGAAGGCAAUUCCCGGAAUUGAAAAAAUAAAAAAUGGUUAUAAUCCCGCUACCUGGAUGUUGGAAGUUACUGCUGCAUCCCAAGAGGUAGCUUUGGGGGUUGAUUUUACUGAUAUUUUCAAACGCUCAGAAUUAUACAGGUACGUUCAUGAGGUACUCAUCAGUUGCAUAUACUAUUAAUUAACUACAAUCCAUUCACCCCUAAGCCAAUGCAUUUGUUUAUGUCACCAUGAAAGCUGAAGUGAUGCGUGGCAUGUGUUUCAGGGGAAACAAAGCACUUAUUGAAGAUUUAAGCAAGCCUACUCCAGGUUCAAAGGACCUCUAUUUUCCUACUCAGUACUCUCAGUCAGCUUUCACCCAAUUUAUCGCCUGCUUAUGGAAGCAACACUGGUCAUACUGGCGGAAUCCACCAUACACUGCUGUUAGAUUUUUUUUCACGACCUUAAUAUCAUUGAUGUUUGGAACACUGUUUUGGGACUUGGGCACUAAAACGUGAGCCACUCUUACAUUUUAUUUGAAGCCUGUUGUUUCAUCUGCCUUUUAAUCUUAAGUUUUUCAAUUUUCAGGGGAAAGAACCAAGAUCUGUUUAAUGCAAUGGGUUCCAUGUACAUUGCUGUUCUGUUCAUCGGCGUUCAAUACUGUUUUUCAGUGCAACCAAUAGUAUCUGUAGAGAGAACAAUCUUUUACAGAGAAAGUGCUGCCGGAAUGUACUCAGGCCAACCAUGGGCAUUAGCACAAGUAAAUUGCUUGACACUUGAUUACAAAUAUUUUGAAAUGUAUUAAGAAUUGUGUUUCUAUACUGAUUUUUUUUUCCUUUUUCUCCAGGCUGCGAUUGAGAUACCUUAUAUUUUUAUUCAGUCAUCACUGUACGGUGUUCUAGUCUAUGCUAUGAUUGGAUUUGACUGGACAGCAGCGAAGUUUUUUUGGUACAUAUUUUUCAUGUUCUUCACUUUGUUGUACUUCACCUUCUACGGCAUGAUGGCUGUGGCUAUGACACCAAACCACCACAUUGCUGCCAUUGUUUCAACUCUAUUUUUUGGAUUGUGGAACGUCUUUACUGGUUUUUUAAUCCCAAGACCUGUAAGUAUC